UUAUCUACCGUAUUGUACACUCUCUCAUCUCCAAAAGCUCACAUUAUACCUGUCACUCAAAUUAAAGGAAGAAAACCAACCAUUUCUAGAUUUAAAUACGACUUUGUCGCAGUAUUAUUUUAUUAAAUCUCACUUUCUUCUCUAAGAAUCUGCAUAUAUAUGUGUGUGUGUCUUAUGAUGCAUUUACAAUCAUUACCAUAUAAUAAGUUGUGUUUCCCAAAGUGUAAAAAAUAAUAUGAAAUCGUUUAAGGUGUAUUUGCUAUUGUUGGUUAUCAAUUUCUCAUUCCAAGAAGAAUCAAGAUUUGGACUUGCUGAUGCUGCAAGACCAAUUUCUUUACAAUCCCAGAAUAGUAAGUUUUCCUCUUCAGUAGAGUAUUUGAAGAUGUUUGAGACUCUUGGAAUGGUUUGCAAGUGUUGUGAUGGGGCAGAUUCUGGAGAAGGAAAAAAGCAAGAUUUGUGUAGUGCUACUUGGAAUGUUUCUUGCUCCAAUCUUCAGUGCUUCCCUUGGAAAUUCCAAUGAUUUUUUAUGGCUUUUUUGCUUUGUAUAUGUCAAGUGUACCAUAUAGAUCAAUUGAGGGAACGGAUUGUUGUCUCUUUUAUGGUCUUCGACGAUCCUCAUAUUAAUUAUGAGAUAACUUUUAAGAUUGAGUUAGACUCAAAAUUCGUAAUCUUUACAUGGCAUCGAGUAAGACUCAUUCAAAUUCUUGGUUUACCCAAUGUUGGACUCCACGCUCUAGAAUUCUAGGCAUGGCCACUUGGGUUCACAAGGAAUAUUAAGUGUUAACCAUAUUGGUUGAAAGAUGAAUUGUUGUCUCCUUAUAAAGUUUUGGACGAUCAUUAAUUUAUAAGCUAACUUUUGAGAUUGAAUUAUGUUUGUUUUUUUACGGUUUAGAAAGAGGCUUUUGCUUUGUAUAUACACUAUAUAUUCCUAGAGAUUCAAUGGCUAAAUUGCCUCUUCUUUUCGUUUUACACAGGGCUUUCUUCUUUCAUUCUUGAAGCUUAUUUUUGGCAUAUGGAAAGAACAGGAGAUGAAAAUUAAACAUUACUAAUAUUAGCUGGUAAGGGAAGUGGAGGAAAAAGACUAUUUUAAGUUGUAUCUUUUAUUUAUCUUCUCAAUCUUAAACGUCCAAACAAGAGAAGAAAAAGCAACUUUGGAGAUUACUGGGGCACAAAUAUACAUGUACCCAUACAACUUUUAGCAUACGAUUUCAAAUUCGAAUUUUGCUCCUGAGACCCAAAGAAAGUUACUCUCUCCAUUUUAUAGAGUUGCUUUAACUUCAAUAGAUAAUUAACCGUAGAAAGGGAUUCUAAAGAAAGAAAAGAGUACGUGACCCCUUUUUAGAGCAUGUAAGGAGAUUUUAAUUGAAAAAGGAUGUAUUCAAGCAUGAGAUCAAAUCUCGAUAUUAGUUUCCUUCCUUUGUUAGUCUUUCUCUAUCAUCUGCAUUAAUGUUUAUAUAAUGAAAUCAGAAAUCCAAAAAGUUUAUCUUAUAAAAUUAUCCAAUUGAUGAAAUAAAUAAAGUCAAGCGUGACUUUCUUUCAAUGUACUCCAGAAUUUAUUAGUUAAAGGAUGGCAGAGUCUCAUCAUAUACGAUUUCAAGGGAGAAGCAUUGAUGUCAUACAAUUUUCUUCUAUGAUUUGUAGCUGAUGGAAGAGUAACAACCAUAUUACAAACUAUGCACUCACAACGUAAGAAAUAAUUACACGAUCAAAUUACUUAAAAGAAAAUUAUAAGUAUUUCACUGAUGACAUAAUCUUAGAUAGGAGGAUAUGGAGGUUGCAGAUUAAAGUAGAAGGUUAAUAUGUAGUCGAAUUCUCUAGCUUUCCUGUAGGAGAGGCUUGGUGGUAGUUUGGAGCUCGUUAUAGGCUUGUCCCUUCAUACCAGUAGUAUUAGUAUUAUUCUCGUAUUGUCUUAUUCUUCGGCUUCUAUUACUAUAUAUUAUUUCUUGUGAUUGAGUUAUCUUAUUAUUUUGUUAUUGUUAAUUCCCCUUUUUUCAAUUGCUUUGUAAUGCUUUCCUUACUAUUUUUUCAUGGCUUCUUCACUACUGAUUUUCAUUUUCAAAACUGCUUUAGAUUGCUUUUUUUAGCCGAGUCUACUGGAAAGGCGGAAAGAAUCUCUCUACCUUCACAAUUCUCCCCAGACCCCACUUGUGAGAUUCCAUGGGAUAUGUUAUUGUUGUUGUAAAAAUACAAGUAUAUAUCUCAUAAUAAUCAUUAAUUGGUAAUCUUGUCAAAUAACAAUUUAUCUAUUAUCUCAAGUUAAAAUACAUUGAUAUUAUUAAAAAAAUUACACUCUCUAGUGUAUAUAACUUAAAUUCUUCUAAAUUACCCAUAAAGAUAAUAAACGGACUCUUAACAAGAAAGUUAGAAAUUUUCUUUGGGCGGCAUCUAACUUAGCUUUUGACCUGAUUUUGCUUCUAGAAACUGAAAUUAUCGUAUUCAAGGUUAGAUAGUACAAGUUCUUUUUUUUUUCCUCCUCAUAUAUAUAGAGAUAUAGGAACAGCUACUCCUAGUAACUUGUACUGGAUUUGAAAUUUUCUCAUAGUUGGUGUGCUGCGAAGCAUGAAAUAGCCUCUCCCUCCAUAAUGACAAGAACGUAUUGCCAUUAAUAUAAGUUACAGACUACUGAUUCAUUUUUUCAUUAAUAAUCAGCAGUUGGUGGUUGUUUCCAUACCCGUCAUAAGGAAGUGUCCUGUAGAAUUGGUCCACAAAAAAUAAUUUUAUUUUAGUUUUUUUAUGGGUACUGGGUAGGAGUUACUUUUGAUUAUGUUUAUUUCAGGCAAACUCUACUUGCCCAACAGUAUCUAACUCUAAAAUAGUACGCGUUUCCCCCGUGGAGAUACUUCAAUAAUCCAAAUAACUAUCUAAAACGAAGCGUGAAGGAUUUAAAUGCAGUGGCUUUCAGGCCAUAUCUAUCAAUUGGGUCAUUCCUUAACCCCGAUUAAUUGAAGAAUUUUCAUAAACUACUAGUAUAAUUUAGAGCCUAGUAACUAUAGUUUGUCUAAUUAUCAUUUGUAGUUACUGUUCAGUUGUUACUAACUUGUAUCACUUGUAUUUAAACGCGCAACGAAUACAGCCUGUUGUUUACUCGCUAAACGGUACAGUUGAAUAUGUUAUGUGGAGUAUAGACACAUGGAUUGAUUCGAUCCAAUAAAUAAGAAAUAAACAGGAAAUAAAGCAGAAGUAAGAAAAUAAGUAAAUGACGAGCCUGGCUACAGAUUUAGCCUUUCCGAUGACAGCGAGAAGAAAUAGAGCAUGAAAGAAUAGUAUAUUAGCGUUAAGGGAUGUUUGAGAACUUUUUAGAGAGAGAGAAGUAUUUUGCAAUUCUCUGCGACAACCCCCCCUCCCCCUCCCCUCCCUUCCCCCCCCCCCCAAUGGGUGUUGACUCCUCAAUUUAUAGGUAUUAUCGAGGAGGUCAAACCCUUACAUUCAGCACCUAAUAAAUGACAAUGAAACCGUCCCUUGAUGAUUUCCCAACGGUUGGGAAUAAAUGUGAUAUUCUCUGAAACGUGUGCUUAUUGACCACUAACAUUCUCUAUAACGGUUGCUCAUUAAAUACUAACCGAUGUUGAAGAAUCUACUCCUUGUCCUCGGUUAUUUGAUCUCUUACCUUUGGUUGUUCCGCCUUCAGAGCCUAUUUAGUAAUAGUUUACUUGUUUGUGCCCGGUGCCAACUAUGCUCGUAGUUGUUUCUUUAGUGGCCGAGUCAUCAAUUAUGUGGCCUCGAGUCCACAUGUCACUUUGCUAUUCGACAUUUUUCUUUAAUAAAUUUUACCCUAUACAGAGAGUCCCCCUACUUUCCGAUGGCAAAAACUUUGUGCCGUCGGAAAGUAGAUCAAAAUUCCUUUCUUGGCGGCAAAGUUUCUGAGCGAUCUCCGACUUUUGAAAGGAUGGGAGUCUCCUCACAUUUAAUGCCUCGAACACGUGUUGCCUCGUGAUUCAACAUGUACUUUUGCUAUGUUUCGAGGUAAUCAUGAUUUCACACCUUUUUGACCUAUAUAACUCGUCUCCUAAACAUAUCUCUCUUCUUCCAAUCUUUGCAAACUCUCAGUCUUCCUCAUCUCUUUCAGAACUCUCUACUUACCAUUUUUCACAAGUUUUCAUCCUCUUUCCUUCUCUACAAAGACAUGUCUUCAUACACCGCUAUCCCCAAGAACACUGGUUCUCUUUUUGGUGGUGGCCCGAAGAAAAGGAAAACCAAAGAAGUUGAAGUAGACAAUGAGCCCCCCACUAUCACUUUUAUCAUCCCUGUUAACUUUAACACCAUAGCAGACCUUCAAGAACAGAAGGCUUCUGUAGAUACCACCAAUGCUAGGUUUUGGCCGGUUUGUCUGUUUCCUUCUUCCAUCUGUGCAUCUCACAUUUCCAUUGUGAAGGAGGAUUGCAACCGCCCAAAUCUAGAAAUCUUUGCCCCCGAGGAGGUAGAUAGAAUCACCUUCUCUAAAGCAGAUUUCACCUUCUUAUAAACCUACCCAUUCUCUCUUGGUUUCUUUUCCUUAGGGUCGAAUGAAGGAAUCGACCCCAUAAUUUUAGAACUUUGCCACUGGUACUAGGUUUGCUUGGCACAGGUCAGCCCUUCAAUCUGGCGAACGGUAGCUUGCCUUCGCCAGAUGUGUUUUGAGUGUAGGGAAACCCUUACUCAGGAACAUAUGAUGAAUCUUUACUCCCCAAAGAUUUUUCCUGGGUGAGUAUUGAACCUUAGCAAGCAUAGCUACCAUGCUAUCCUCACUAGUGUGGAUGACGGCAACGAUCGCGGUUGGAUGGAGAGGUUUGUUCUUGUCUCCACCAAGGACAUUGUUCCGGCCAUAGCUCCGCCCUUUCCGGAGUCGUGGAAUCUCAAGCGUAAGUUUUUAGCCUUUUGUAUAUAUUUUUUAAGUUUGUUGCAGAUAUUACCAUAUCAUUCUCUUCUGCUGGGGAUUCUUCGAGGAGGUACCUUCGCCGGAGAUAGAGGAGAUUCUGCGGGCCUGCCUUCCAGCAAGGAUACUUUGCACUAUCCGUUUGGCCUUCUCGAGAUCAGUUAAGGCCUUGACACCGGCCAUAUUGGUUCUUGAUGAGGAGGAGAACGAUGAUGAAGCGGUCGCCCUUUUACAAAGAAGGAAAUUUUCAUCAGCUCGACCGGGUGCUCAGCCGAGAGAGCUCCGUUCUCCCACACCACAAGAGGUUCAGAACCUGUGGGGGGAAUGGAACUGGCAGAAAAUAUUGAUUUCUCUUUCCGAUACCUAUGGAUACUUCUGCUCAGAGGGGUUCAAGUUCUGAGCCUCUUUCUACUGACCCAAUAAUUGCCAUCUCUACUUCUCCAUCCACACUGAUGGCCUCUUCACCAACAACACCACCAGCUCUAUCCUUACCGUUAUCGGCUGCUUCACCGCUACCGGCGCCAUCAACAAGAGAUGGAGAUGCCUUUCCUCCCCGGUCUCCUGACCACGGGAACUUGGGGAACAUUUACUCAACUUUUCAGGACCCCUAAGGAAGGCGAAGUGUCACCCUUUUGGUUUUGAAGGGAUGCCAAAUUCUUUCCAAACUGAUGAAGCUCGCCAACUAUAUGAAGCCGCUGGCGACGGCCAGGGACUGGGGGAAAAUGGACUCCCUUUCCGGGGAGUGUCUUAUUAACAACAGUAUGCACUGCUCGGCACAGGUAAUAGCAUAACCCUUCUUUUUUCGUUCCUGGUAUCCUUCUUACCGAAAUACUGAUUCCUGACUUUGUCUUUUCUUAGUCCAAUUUGCUUGCUUCUGAGGUCCUACAGAAGUUGAUUCUGGAUAAGUAGGAAUUGGCUGCAGAACGAGAUUAGCUUUCGAUUGAGAAGACUCAACUUGCCGGGCGCCUCUUGGUUCUAGAGGCAAAGCUUGCCGAUAGGGCGGAGCUUGAGGACCGGUUGCAGUAGUCCGAGCAGGACUUGAUGGAUUCUAGCCAAGAAGCUGCCCAUCUGAAUAAGAGCCUGAGAGAGGCUAAAUAUAAAUGGGUACAGCUUCAUGAUAUUAUUACUGAUGUCACCGAACGUGAAUCAGCCAUCAUGUCCCAAGUUAAUAAUUUGGAGGAUGAUUUACGUGUCAGGACCGAGGAGGCAAGGGUUGCCGGAGAAGGUAAAGCCAAAAUGGAAGAGAGGCUUCUUAAGGUCAUGGAGCAAAACCGACUCCAUUCUUCUACUAACGUUAUAUUUGAUGCUAGAGACAGUGUAAUGAAGGCUGAGAAUGAGGAGCUCCAGGCAAAGGUCAAGAAACUUCGGGCUCGGCUCCAAAACCAGGAAGACUCCUUCAUCUUUGAAAAAACUUACUCUAUGUUUCACAUGAAGCGGAAGACGUUGGAGGAAGCUAAGGCAUGACUUGUAAAUAUCGAACAGAGCAUUGCCAAGGCCCGGGAACUAGAGUCCACUGCCCUUAAGAAUCUCCUUGCUCCGCCUUCUACGUCCGGUUCUUCGAGUUAUGCUUUUUAAUAUUCAGGAACUGAAGAAGAAGGAGAGGAUGAGAAUGAUGGUGGCUCUGCACCAUCAACGCGACAUCCCUCUUCCAUCGAAGCUGCUGAAGAUUCUUCUCUCCCGGCACCACAAGAAAAUACAUAGUCUUUUUUUUUUUGUAAUCUUGCCAAGACUCGAGUUCGAGUUUGGUUAUUAUAAUAAAUAAGAGGAUUUUUGUCUUUAUUGCUUUGAGAAAGUAUACUUUCUUUAUGCCUUUGUCAAGUUUUUUGAAACUUGUUCUGUAAUCAGAGGUUUUGACUCCUAGAUCUUCACCCGUCGGAAUUUACCCCUUGUCACGAGGGUUUUCAAAAUUUAAUUGAGUCUUUGAGGACUUAGGUUCCGGGAUUUUUAGUCCAUCCGGUAGUCUGCCCUUGAUCGUGAGGGUCUUAUAAAUUUAACUGAGUCUUUAGGAAUUUACGUCCAAAGACUCCGAUUUCAGGAAUUUUGACCAUCCGAAAUCAACCCUAUACUAUGAGGGUUUUAUAAGAGAGGGACCUCUUAUAUUUACGGUGCUCUUAAAGAGGACGUCUCCUAUUCAUUCCGGCACAAGCAUUUGAAGUUCUAAGUAACUUUCGAAUGAAAAAUACAUUAACUUAUCAUUUGUACUAGAAAUAACGAAGAAGUAAAAAGGCCUUUCACUUAUUCCUUUCAUUCAUGUGAAUACAUUUACAUUGCUUGCCAAUACAUAUGGUUGAUUUACAUGACUUAUUUCUACGGGGCUGGUUGUGCAGUCCCCGGUCCUAAGAAGAUUUUACUAUCGGGGAUGACUGUGCAGUCCCCGGUGUUAAGACACUCUUUGGUGUUUAAGAAAGUAUUCCCCCCCCCCCCCCACCCCUUCGUUGUUUGAGUGAGAAAUAUAUGAACUCGAGAACUGAGGGUCUUAUUCCUUUCGGUGAUCGUUGCUUCCUCAUUGAUGGGAACAACUUGUGAAUGACCAAAUAAUCUGUAGCUUGUGUAUGAUCAAAUAAUAUGAGAUCUUUGGGAGAUAAUCAUGAUAUCUAUCCAAAGAUUAUUUAACCAUCUACAAGUAGUUUGCCAUAUGAAUCAUUGCCUUUGGUUUCCAUAAUAUUUUUGACUGUCUUCAGUAUAUGUGUAUACUGGCCCCCUCCCUCCCACCCCCCCCCCCCAGUGUUCGAAUGCGAAGUCAGUGAAUUCGAGCACUAGAAGUCUUGUUCUCGGUGAUCAUUCCCUCUUCGUAGUAUAUUUUACAUUGCCGCCUCGUUAAAAAUCUUAUCGGAAAAAACCUGAUUUGGGACAAAAACCGGCGAAGGGUAAAAGAGUGCAGCACAUACUUUCAGUAUAAGUGACGGUAUUCAAGAAUAGUACCGAACUGAGAUGGGAUACAUUCCAAAUGCUAUGUAAUUCAUCACCGUUUUCAUUUUCCAACUUGUUAGAACCUUUUCCCGUGAUGGCCAAAACCAGGUAAGGUCCUUCCCACGUAGAUCCCAAUUUUCCUGCAUUGAGUUCCCAUGUGUUUUGAGUGACUUUCCUUAAGACCAGAUCUCCAACCUUGAAAUAUUGGAGAUUUGCCCUUAGGUUAUAAUAUCUCUCUAUCCUUUUUUUUUGUGCCAUCAUCCUCAUGUACGCCAGUCCCAUGUGUUCUUCAAGCAAAUCCAACCUUACCAGCAAAGCUUCCUUGUUUGCUUCUUCACUGGCCCGAGAGAACCUCAGAGUCAGUUCUCCUACUUCUACUGGAAUCAGGUCUUUGGAUCCGUACACAAGUGAGAAAGGUGUUGCUCCUGUGCUUGACUUUACCGUUAUUCGAUAUGCCUAAAGCACCUCCAGUAAUAAUUCCGACCACCUGCCCUUUGCAUCUUCUAGCUUUUUCUUGAGGUUGUGUAUUGUAACUUUGUUCGUUGACUCAGCCUACCCAUUAGCACUUGGGUGAUAAGGAGAGGAUGUGAUUAUUUUGAUUUUCAAGUUUUCUAGAAACUUUGUGACUUUAGAGCCUACGAAUUUUGGCCCAUUGUCACAAGCUAGAGCCUUCGGUAUUCCAAACCGGCACACAAUGUGAUCCCAUAUAAAGUCGAUCACUUCGUGUUCUCCAAUUUUUGGGUAGGCACCUGCUUCAACCCAUUUGGAGAAAUAAUCAGUCAAAAUCAAAAGAACUGUUACCUUGCCAGCCCCCAAUGGCAAGGGCCCAAUGAUAUCCAUCCCCCAUUUCAUGAAGGGCCAAGGCGAUGUCACCGAGUGCAAAAGUUCCCCUGGUUGAUGCAGGCGUGUCGCUGACACUUGUCGCAUUUAUAAAUGAAUGCUUUCGAAUCCUGUUCCAUCUGAGGCCAGUAGUAGCCAGCCCUUGCCAAUUUGAAGACCAAUGAAUUUGCGCCUGAAUGAUUCCCGAACAUUCAUUUGUGUACUUCCCCCAACAUGUAAUCUGCCUCGGAAGCUCCUAAGCAUUGAGCUAACGGCCCUUGAAGGAUCUUCUAUACAGUUGUCCAUCGGCGAGGAAAUAUCGUGCUGCUUUAGUUUGUAGGCCUCGUGAUGCCUUCGAAUCUUCGGGUGCUUACCAUGUCUUAAGUACUCAAUGAAUUCGUUCCUCCAAACCCAGACGAGGUUGGUAGAGUUCACCUUGUAAUAGCCAUCCACAUCCAAUACGCAGUGUAGCAGUUGAACAACUGAACCGGAAUUUAGACCCCUUUAUUUUCGUAGAAGAGCCCAAAUUAGCUAAUCUGUCUGCUUCCACACUUUCCUCUCUCGGGAUGUGAAUGAUGUUCCAUUUCUUGAAGCGGGAAAGUAGCAUAUGUGCCUUGUUCACAUACCGUUGCAUACGUUCUUCUUUAGUAUCGAAGACUGCGCACACUUGAUUUACCACCAACUGUGAAUCACAUUUGAUUUCAAUGAUUUCUUCUCCUACUCCCCGAGCUAGUUCAAGUCCUGCAAUCAAAGCUUCAUACUCUGCUUCAUUGUUAGUCAGAGUUAACAUUUCUAUGGCCUGUCUUAGGGUUUCUCCCGAAGGGGUAACCAGUACCACUCCAAGACCAGAACCCUUUAUGUUAGAUGCCACAUCCAUGAACAGUGUCCAAACUCCUGAUGCAGAUCCUGAUACCUGUUCUGCUUCUUUAGGAGCUAACAGAAGUAAACCCAAACUAAAGUCGGCCACAAAGUCGGCCAAAACUUGCGACUUAAUCGCAGUGCUGGGUUUUUAUUCGAUGUCAAAUUCGCUGAAUUCGACAGCCUAUUUGGCUAAACAACCCGAUAGGUCGGGUUUAUGAAGGACGCUUCUCACCGAAAAUGUCGUUACGAGGGCUAUCGGAUGACACUGAAAGUAGGGUCUUAGCUUCUGAGAGGCGACUACGAGAUCUAAGGCCAGCUUUUGAAGGUGUGGGUAACAUGUUUCCGCUCCCAAUAAGAUCUUGCUUAUGCAAUAAACAGGAAAUUGCAUAUUUUCCUCUUCACGGACCAAGACGGCACUUACCGCAACUUCUGAAACUGCUAAAUAAAUCAGCAAUUGCUCCACUUUAUUGGGUUUUGACAACAACGAGGGACUACAUAAGUACCUUUUCAGGUCCUUCAAUGCUUGUUGGUACUCCGGGGUCCAUACGAAAUUAUUCUUCUUUAUCAACAAAGCAAAGAAGUGAUUGCACUUCUCAGACGACGAUGAACCUGCUUAAUGCCGCCAAUCUUUCGAUAAGGCUUUGCACUUCUUUUACACUUGCGGUAUGUCUUCUAUGGCCUUGAUCUUAUCGGCAUUUACUUAGAUCCCUCUCUAAGAGACUAGAAAACCCAAUAAUUUUUCGGAGCCAACUCCGAAGGCACAUUUUUCGGGUUAAGCUUCAUAUUAUAUUUUUUGAGGAUGUCGAACGUCUAUCCCCUGCAUUAAGAGAAUUGACAAACAUAUUGUUAAUAUAUACUUCCAUAGUUUUACCAAUAUGUUUUUCGAACAUUUUAUUAAUGAGCCUUUGAUAUAUGGCUCCGGUAUUUUUAGUCCGAAAGGCAUCACAUUAUAGCAAUAUGUGCCGAAGUUCGUGAUGAAAGAAGUUUUUUCUUGAUCCUCCGGGUUCAUUCUGAUUUGAUUUUACCCGGAAUAGGCAUCGAGAAAACUCAUCAGCUCGUUCCCGGCCGUGGCGUCAAUCAUUUGAUCGAUGUUUGGCAAUGUGAAUGAGUCCUUGGGGCUUGCCUUAUUCAAAUCUUUUUAGUGUACACACAUUCUAAAUUUAGUGUUCUUUUUAAGAACAACCAGUAUGUUAGCUAACCAUUCGGGGUAGUUAACCUUCCGAAUGGAACCUAUGUUAAGCAAUCGAGUUACCUCUUCCUUCGGCUAUUGCGCAUUUCUUUUGCCUUACUGGAGGGACUCUGGGGUCCAUGCUCAAUUUGUACAUAGCUACCUCCGGUGGGAUACCUGUCAUGUCAGAGUGCAACCAUGAAAAACAAUCAGCGUUAACUUUAAGGAAAUUUAUCAUUUUUAACCUGAGUUCGGGAUCUAGUCUUGUCCCUAAAUGAAAUUUCCUUUCCAAGAAUUCUUCGAACAAAACCACUUGUCCGAGUUCCUCUGCGGUUGACCUUUUGGCAUCUAUUUCUUCUGGUAUCUUAAAAGAUCUCUGCACCUGGUACAAUUCCGAUGACACCUCAUUGGUUUCCUCUAGGGAGGUAGAAGGCACCGGUCCUUGUAAUUACUACGUGUUGGUAUCAUUUUCCUUGCUGCUGGCGGGGGUUAUUUCAUUCAUUUCCUUUGCUUCUGGUUGGUCUCCCCGUAUUUUCUUGAUCCCUUUGGGUGUCUGAAACUUCAGCAGCUGGUGGUAAGUUGAAGGCACAACCUUCAUCUCGUGUAUCCAAGGUCUAUCGAGUAUCACAUUGUAGACCAUGUCACCGUUUACUACCUCGAACGAGGUAGUCUUCGUUACUCCCUCAACAUGUAUCGGAAGUAAGAUCUCCCCUUAGGUGGUGACACUGGUCAAAUUGAAACAAGCCAGGAGCUUUGUUGUUGGUAUAACGUUCCUGGUUAGCCCAGCUUGUUCUAAAACUCUCCAUUGUAUUAUGUUGGACGAGCUUCUUGAGUCAACCAAAAUACGUUUAAUUUUAAAAUCAAGUACAUUUAAAGAGAUUACCAAUGCGUCAUUGUGCGGCAGGAGAAGGCCAUUGGUUUCUUCCUCUGUGAAAGUGAUGUCAUCUUCUGAGAGUUCUCGAGUCCUUUUACCGUGUGUUUCCGUUAACUCUAGCUUCUUUAUAGCCGAAAAUGUUACCACGUUGACUUCGCUACCCCCAAAUAUCAUAUUGAUGGUCAACCGAGGUGUUUCUGUUGCCGGCUUUGAUGACUUAGCGGCGUUCUGAUCUCUCCCAUAAUUGUUCUUGGAACUGUCACUUAGAAAUUCUCUGAGAUGGCCAUUUUUCAACAACAUAGCCACCUUCUCAUGUAGAUGCCAUCAAUCCCCGAUUUUAUGUCUGUGGGCUCUGUGAAAUUCGCUCCACAGAUUGAGAUCCCUCUGGUCCGGAUCUGACCUCAUAGGCUUCGGGAACCUAGCCUUUUUAAUAUUCCUCAUUAUUGAUACCAGUUCUACCAGGCUGACAUUGCAAUUGUAAUCGGAUACCCGAGGAUAAGUCGUAUCUUGAGGCACUAUUGAGACCUUUCCUGUAAUGACAUGUUGCUUCUGCUACAAUCUGUACCCCUGUUAGAGGUAAUUCUUCCGAUGACAUGGAGUCCCUAUUGUUCUGUCAUGUGUUCCUUUUGUAAGGUUGAAAAUGACUUCUGGAAGGCCUUCUGUCAGUGUUAAAGUUAGCCCUGGUCUUAUCGUGGUUUUGAUCUCGAGUUUUCCCCUUAUGGGAUACCGAGGAAUUCAAGUAAUCAUCUCCUAUCCUGAUUUUUGAUUCAUAGCGAUUAUGGACGUCUGCCCACGUAGUUGCUUGAAAUUCUAACAAACUCUCUUUCAGUUUAUGAGAGGCGUCCGAGCUAAAGGGAUUGAGACCCCUUGUGAAUGCUCUUGCCGCCCACUCAUCCGGUACCGCCGAUAACAGCAUCCUUUCCUUUUGGAAUCAGAUCACGAAUUCUCAUAGCAGUUCAGUUUCUCCCUGCAAAAUUCUGAAUAUGUCUGCCUUUCUUGCUUGUACCUUUCUAGCCCCGACAUGAGCCUUUAUGAACGAAUCUACAAGCAUUACAAUCGAGUCAAUAGAGUGUUCGGGUAAGAGAGAGUACCAAGUUAAGGCGCCUCUUGUUAGGGUUUCGCCGGAUUUCUUUAAUAGAACAGAUUCGAUCUCCUGUUGGGCCAAGUCAUCUCUCUUCACGGCCGUUGUGUAAGUGGUGAUGUGUUCCUAUGGGUUCGAGGUUCUGUCGUAUUUCGGAAUGCUCGGCAUCUUGAAUUUUUUUUGGAUUAAUUUCGGGGACGCGAUCGGCUUAAACGGUAGUUGUGUACUUUUUGGAAUAUGGUCCCUUUAAUACUGGUGGUGCUCCCGGUAUCUCGUCCAUCCGCGCGUGAAAAUCCUUCGCAUUUUGAUCCGUUCGUUCAUUAAUCUCUCUCGUGAAUUCCAUAAGUUCGAUCUUGAACGGGUCGCCUCCAUUAUUUAUUUUUCCUAACCCGCUGUCGGUAUCGCCUGCUUCGGUGAAGCCGAAAUCUUCCCUUGGGAUAGCAUUUUUGGUCCUUUGAACAGUGUAAUCCACGGGAGCAGCAGGAAGAGCUUGUGCACGCACAUUGGCGUUGUUGGAGGCCCCUGAUAAUGCUUGCUUUUAUUCCGUGAUCACUUGAUCUUGCCUGAAAAGGUGAUCCAUGAUCACCCUUUGUUGCUCUCUUAAAAUAUUGACUGUUUCUACUACGAGAUUAUCUUCCGUGUCAUCGGGAGUGGGAUCCCUCGUGUGUUGAGUGUCUCGGCCUCUUUGUAUUGGAGUAGUUUCUCCCCCAACGUUGUGGGUCUCCUUCUCUGAGUCUGUGCGUUGGAACGCAUUCUCGUGUUCAUCGAGUUUUCCUAUAUUGCGAGAACCCUUGAUACCAUUCGCUGCCAUUAUCUGGUUUUAUUUCUACUUGGCAAAAGAAUCAAAACUUGUUAGAAACAAAUGAACGGAUCGGAAACAAUCCCACUAUUGUCUAUGCCCCACGGUGGGCGCCAAACUAUUUACCCGCUAAACAGUACAAUUGAAUUUGUUAUGUGGAGUAUAGACACAUUGAUUGAUUCGACUGUAUUUGUUCGCACAACAAAUACAACUAAGGCAAAAUACACAUAUACAAAAAAAUAAAACAGUCUUGUUAAGAGUCGAACUCAAGACCUCCGCUAAUUAAGCAGGUGCUCUAACCAACUAAGCUACGAGAGCUUGUUGAUCUCUUAUUUCAAAUCAUCAAAAUAAUUAAUCUCUUAUUUCAUGGAUUUAUUAAAAAAUUCAAAUACACCUACGAAUGGUAAAUUUACUGAAAAUGUAUCUACAAAUAGUACAUACAAUAUAAAUAUUUAAUGUAUCACGUAACUUUCCUAGUUAAUUGGCCUCCACAAAGUAGUCUUAUUUAUGAAUAAAAACAUCGAUAAAUGUUUGGGUAGUCUUACCCUGGUAAUAACUUAAAGUUGAGCUUUAAGUUGAAGGCAACACAUACUCAAAUCUUUUCUUUUAAGGGGAAUUUUUAGAAAUGACUAUUGUUUGGAGGCUUAUUGCUGAGCAUAGCUAUAAUUUAGCUAAUUAUUUUCUAAUUUAGCUAAUUAUAUUCCGUAGCUACUAAUUGCUUGUCAUGGGAUGUAUGUCGUUGUAUUCAAUUGAGUUAUAUAUAUUGUAUUCAAUUCGGACUUAUUCGUUCUUAUAUAUUUUACAUUGUAUUCAAUUUUACUGUAUUGAAUUCAGUUGUAUUCAAAUAAAAAAAAUAAGAAAUAGGGUGUAUACCACUGUAUUCAAUUCAGUUGUAUACACUAUAUUCAAUUCGGCUAUAUUCAUUCUUAACUAUUUUACAUUGUAUUCAAUUUCACUGUAUUCAAUUCGAAUGUAUUCAAACAAUAAAAAAUUAAGAAAACAGUGAUAUUCGGCUGUAUUCAAUUCAUUAUAUUCAUUCAUAGCUGCUUUUAUACUUUAUUCAAUUUACUGUAUUUAAUUUGGUUGUAUUCAAACAACAAAAAUUCAAAAUAUACAAGGAUCUGCCGCAAAAAACACCCUUCAAAAAUACAUAAAUACAGGCAAAAAUACAAAAAAUAAUAUGUAUUCGCAUUGAAAAAUACAUAAUACACUCAAAUUGAGUGUAUUUGUAUAUGAUACAAUGUAUUUGUAUUAUUGUAUGUGACUCAACAGCAAAGAAGAGAAGAAAGUUCGCCGGAUAUGACGCCUUCCUGCCAAGCAAAACAUUGUAUACAUUGUAUUAAAACUAAAAAUGGAAACAGACAAAAAUUCGGCCAGAUCUGAGAAUAUACUAUCGCAUUGUAUCUACCAAAAUCUAGUCAGACAAACAAAAAUCCGGCCAUAAUGUAUAUUUCGUUGUAUUUAAUUCGGCCACAUGAAAUGAAAUAUACUCAAAUCUAAGAAAAUACACUCAGAUCGGAGAAAAUAUACUCGGAUUUGAGAAAUGCGGUCGGUUGGCCAUGGAUUUCAGCCAGAGAUGACGGCGGCGAUGGAGGUAAUGAUGAGGCCGGUCUGAAUUGAGGAAUUUGAGGUACUAAAUUGAGGAAUUUUCAUAGCAAGUGAGAGAAGAGAGAGUACAAAGGAGAGAAAAAAAUAAAAAGGAGGUCGGAUGGUAGUGUUCCAGCGGGUUAGGCCGGCGGUGGUUCUCCAGCGAGAUUGUAACACCAGAUGGAUAGAAAGUUUAAGGGAGAUGGGGGAGGUGGCUAGGCUAUAGCACGGAGAUGAGAGGAGGAAGAGAGGAAAAAGUUACUUUAGGGUUAGAAAUCCCUUAGAGAGGGUAUUUGCUAUAAAAUCCAAUACGUAGCUAUGUAUUAUAAAUAAUUUAAAGUGAAUUUAUUUAUGAUAAAUAUAGUGUAUAAUUUAAUUGUACCAUGUACAAAAUUCCUUCUUUCAACCUGUAAAACAGGCAUUGAACGAAACCCGGGUCUAGAUUUUGUUAGUAAAAUCCUCCUCCAUUAGGCUCCCCCAAAAGAGCCCGUUAUUGCCAUGGUACAAUAAGCCCAAUCAUAAAAGCUUUUAAGUCCAUCAUUGUUGUUCGACAAAAUCACAAAAUGUCCUAAAAGAAGAAUUAAUCCAAAUAGUUAUUCACCCAACCGCUUAAAUUAAAAAUAACCGGUGAAGAUAUAAUAUAACCAUAAUUCAUAUAUUAAAAGAAUUAAUUCAAAUAGUUAUUCACCCAACCGCUUAAAUUAAAAAUAACCGGUGAAGAUAUAAUAUAACCAUAAUUCAUAUAUUAUAUGUGUAUAAAUAGGAUGGACUAAACAAAUUUUCAAAUGUAUAUGUAUCAUUGCCAGCUAAGUUCGUAAGAUUAAAAUAGUAGGAUUGAAGACGGGACGAUAUAUGACUCCAGAAAUGCAGUAGGACGGUAAAAGUUUUCCUUUCCUCAACAGAACGUAGAGCUUUCAAGUUCGACCUUUGGGUAGGAAAAACAUUUCAAGAAGAAUUUAUGUCACUCAUAACGAGCAUUUUUGACAUAAUUUUAAAUACGGAAUUAAUAGAAGUAGUCGUUGAUGGGAUCAGUGGCGUAACCACGCUUUACGCGACCCUUUGUCAAGGGUGGUCAACGCACAUUGUUCACCAAAAUAUUAUACUGUAUAUAUAAGUUAAGUACUACUUUAUAUCUAUACAUUACUAAAAAUCUGUUAUUUUCCGUCCGAAAAAAUAGAGCAAUAUCGGUUGGUAAUAGGCAGAAAGCGACCAAUAAGCGACCAAGUAAGGGCAGUCGGAAAAUUAGUGGUGGUAGAGUAUACCGAACAAAGUUGGUCGGAAAUUACCGACUAAUUUUGGCCGGUCACUGUAAUUGACCAUCUGACAUUAAUUUAAUAAUACCGACCAUUGUUGGUAGGUAUAUUAUUUUAAUAAUUAAAUAAAACCGACCAACAUUGGUCAGUAUGUAAACUGGAAUUUUUUUUAUUUAAAUGAAUUUACCGACCAACUUUGGUCGGUAACUUAUUUAUUUUAAUUGACCUUUCCGACCAAAGUUGGUCGGUGUCUUAAAUAAUUUUUAUUAAAUUUUUUAUAUAAUAUUAAAAGUUACCGACCAAAGUUGGUCGGUAAUCUUGAUACAUAUCUUAGUUACCGACCGAUAUUGGUCGGUAUUUUUAAAUUUCUGAUAAUUUUUUUUGUGUUUACCGACCAAUAUCGGUCGGUAGUUAACAAUAUUUUUUUUUAUCUGUUUGCCGAUCAAAGUCGAUCGGUUUUUUGGGUUUAUUUUUAGCAAGAAAUGCCUAUUUUGGUAGCUACACCACCUGCCAAAAGAAAGCAGAAUAUUCAAACAACCAAUAACCCCCAAAUUUCAUAUCCAAUCAACACCACUUAACCAAACAUUCAACUAAACAACCAACCAAACAUUUCUAACCAAAUAAAAUAGAAUCAAAACUUAUAAACAUUCAACAUUGUUAAUACUAAUUCAAAACAAAUUCUAACUAUUUAACAAUUCAAUUAAAAUAACUCAAAGUAUAUUAAACUAAUGUUCAAGCAAUAUUUUCUACCUCAUCCCCACCAUCUGAUGAACUUUCAUCUAUAAGACGAUAAGAACGAUCAUGUGGAGGACGAUCAUACCGAUCACGUGGAGGACAAGAAGACCAAUCACGUGGAGGACAGGUGAAACGAUCAUAUGGAGGUUGGACCUCUGAUGAUGACUCAUGAGACCGGGGCAGAAAGGCUCCAGUAGAUAUGAGAGUUCUGAUUUGGGCUUGCAUACCUAAAAAUUGUGCAUCUCUAAGCUUAUCCCUUUCCUUGGCCGCUUCAAGCUCGGAUGUAAACAUUGCCACCUUCUGCUCCAUAGCCGAGAGGGCCUCCCUAUUAAGUUCCUUGUGGUGUGAGGAAGUCUCUAUGCCUUGCAUUCCACACCUGUAGCGAUGGAAUGAUUUCUCAAGUACCCCGUAUACCUUUCCCUUUUUUGGACUGCCAACAACCUCCAAUCACAUUUUUUCAGCAUCCUCGUCUGAAGGUUGGGUUGGCUCGCCCGAUUCAGCAGUUUGCUAACUACGAAUGAACUCCUUAUUAAGAAUUCCCCGGCCACCCAUUGCCUUAUCAAGUCAUCCCAUAAAUAAUGUAGACACUAGCUUGGCUUCUUGUUCUUCUUUCUAGCAUCCGAGAAAUGAUCGGCCAAUCUCUUCUGGGCUUUAUACUAAAUAUUUGAAGCUACAGCCUCACUAUAGCGGUCCUCCCAUACACACUUACUCUGCAUAUCAAAAUGUAAAUAUUAGAUGGAAAUAUAUUAAACAUAAAUUCUUAAACUGCUUAAAAGAACAUGUAUACCUUAAACUGAUUGAAUAUUUGCUACUUCAGCGAGUAUGGAAAAUCACUCCAAGUCGCAUAGGGGCUAUCAUAAUUUUGCAAAUGGCAUUGGUGGAUUAUCUUCGUAGUCUUCUUGCUUGGUCUGAACCUGCAAUAUAACAGUAAAAACACAUGAAAAUAUUAGUUAAUGAAUUAUAAAACAAUAAAGUAAAAAAUAACAAAUAACUCUUACUCAUUCCCCUCAGGGACUACGAUGAUCCUUCCAUAACAAUCAUACUGCACUACCUAUGGAUCAUCAUCCUCAGCAUAUGUAUCAGAGGAAUGCGUAGACGGUGUAGAGGGGGGCUCAAUGCUAUGAUCUCGCAGGCUAAGACCAGAAAUGGAAGGAGUAGAUGAUGAAGAUGGUUGCGAUCCAUGUGGCUGUGAUAUGGAUGGUUGCGAUCCAUGUGGAUGCGACACAGAUAGCUGUGAGCCAUGUGGCUGUGAUAUGGAUGGUUGCGAUCCAUUUGGCUGCGAUCCAUGUAGCUGCGACACAUAUGGCUGUGAUCCAAGUGGAUAUGAGGCCGGUGGCUGCGAUCCAAAUGGAUGUGAGUCAGCUGCAUGCGAUCCAAAUGGAUGUGAGGCAACUGGACUAUAUGACGGACGUAUAGUCCUAUGUCCCUGUGAUGGCAAACCCAGAGUCUGCAUGAAAGUAUAAGCAUGGUGCUGUUGUGGAAGCUCAGUAUAGCUAUGUGGUGGAGGAAAAGACAUAGGCAUCGAAUGAUGCUUCUAUGAAGCAGCUGAAAAUGAGGGAGUAGCAUUAUCCGCAGAAUUUACCCUCCUCCUUCCCUUCCUAGAACGACCCCGUGAACUACCUGGAUCAUCAUUACCUUUACCCUUGCCUACCAUCUGCAUAAUUUAAUAUAUAUUUAGAAUGAUAAAAUAAGAAACUAGUUAUAACACGAGAGUGCUUUAAAAAAACCAACUUGUUAAUCCUCCUCGGCAAAUUCUUCCUCGUCCGAGAAUUCUUCGUCCUCACUUAUUUCAAUUUCAUCAGCUGAUUCUUCGUCCUCAUUUUCUAUAGUUGUUACUUCAUUUAUAUCAACUUCUUCUAAUAUACGUUCAGUAUGCUCUAAAUCAUUUUCUAACUGAUCAUCCACUAUUUUGUGAACACUUGAGAUACCGUAUUGAUAUGCAACAUCCAACACAUUCUCGACUUCUACCCUACUCACAGGUUUAGUUUUGAUUACCACCCACCAAUCCGACUGAAUCCUCUACAAUGGACAAGGGGCAUAAUACACUUGCCUAAUGUUAUAUGCAAUUAUGAAAUGCUCAUAGCGAUCAUACUCCCUCGUAUGAUUAACCUUAAUUAUGUUGUAUUGCUGAUGCACUUUUGUACCUCUUAUUGGAUUUGGGUCAAAUCACUUGCAUCUAAAGAGUACCAAUUUCUUGUAUGGCCAAGCUGUAUAUUCUAGUUGUAUUAUUUCUUUGACCACACCAUAAUAAUCAAUAUCUCCAACUUGGUUGCCAUAACCAUCUUUAACCCACACCUCAUUGUUAUUGCUUUUUUUAUUAUGAGAGCAAUCCUCCGUAUGAAACUUGUAACCAUUCACUACGUACUUAGACAUUGUUAUGACCUAAAGCCCAGGUCCCCAAGAUAUAUCUUUUAAAAAUUUAAUUUACACUAUUAUUUGGAUUAUUUACCUACAGAUAGUGUUGAAAAAAACUNNNNNNNNNNNNNGGAACUUUAGAAAUACUUUAGGAUAAACUCCCAAAGUCUUUCAACCACGUAUCAAAUCUCGUAUAUAUAAUAUCAUUACCAAAUUGAGCCAUAAAGUGACAGCGACGCAUCAAAACAAUUUAAUAGUUGCAUCAAUAUAAUCAUUGUAUAUUUUACAUUUUGAUUAACAAUAAAUUAACACUUACUUAAGAAAUGAUUGAACUUCAGAAAAAUUUAGCAACACAUACAUUGUAGCUGACUUGUACUCCACAUCAUUUAAACUUCUCUUUCUAACAUCCUUAGAACAUCAGCCUGGUUGAUUGAAGAUGGACAUUGGUGGAUAUAAUGGAUCAUUCUCCCAUGCGACAUUGUGCUUAUUGGGCCUGUUUUUAGAACAUGGCACGUUACUCUCGAAAUAGUAAGAACAAAAAUGUGCAGUUUACUUUGCAAGAUAGGCUUCGCAUGUAGAUCCUUCAAUCUUAUUCCUCUACUCAAAAAAUUAUUUGUAUUUUCCAAUUGUCCUGCAUAAUGUCGUAUUAGACAAGAGCAUUCAAAUAAAAUAGAAGAUUACUUCAAACUUAUAAUAAUACCUCUCAAAGGGACACAUCCAUCUGCAAUGAACAGGUCGUCCAAGUCGUGCCUCGUAUACAAGGUAGAAUGGAAGGUGUUCCAUCAUAUCAAAGAAACCACAUGAAAAUAUUUUUUCCAACUUAUUUGAAAUUAAAAGAAUGUUCUAAUCCAUACGAAGUAGGUUUUCUUCCCUCAAUGUGGUAGAACACAAGUCUUUGAAUAACAAACUAAUAUCUGUGAUGGGUUUUCAGAUUCUUUCGGGCAAACCGCAUAAUGCAAUAAGUACUAAUGUCUCCAUGAAAACAUGACAGUCAUGACUUUUCAAAUGGCUCAACUUCCCUACUUCCACAUCUACACAUUUUCCCAGAUUCGACGCAUAACCCUCAGGCAUCUUUAAGCUCGUAACCCAAUCAUAAAUUUGUCGUCUCUCCUCCAAGUGAAUGUGUAACUAGCUUUGGGAUCGAACACCUUACCAUUGUUCGUUGUCUGCAAAUACAAUUCAGGUCACCUGCAAUACUCUUGUAAGUCCAUUCUAGCCUUCGGGUUAUCUUUUGACUUAUCCUUAACAUACAUCACUUUGUUGAACAAAUUAUCAAAAUAAUUCUUCUCAAUAUGCAUAACAUCAAGAUUGUGUCGAAGAACAUUACCCUUCCAAUAAGUCAACUCCCAAAAAAUGCUCUGUUUCGUCCAAUUAUGAGUAACACCAUAUCCGAAAAAUCUAGAAGGUGGAGCCUCUAUAACUUUAGUGAAGUUCUGCACCCUCUCCCAAAUUUCCUCACCGAAAAGUAUCGGAGGUGUAGAAUCAUGUUCCACUUUAUUCUUUUUGAAUGCAUUCUUCAUCCUUCUAAACUCAUGAUCAACUGGCAAGAACUGGCGGUGACAAUCAAACCAUGAUUGUUUGCGGCCAUGUUUUAAGGUGAACGCUUUACCAUUUUCCAUGCAGUAAGGACAAGCUAACUUUCCAACAGUCAUUCACCCAUACAACAUUCCAUACGCAAGUUGAAAUUCUGCUUGGUUGAUAUGUCAUAUGUUUCAACACCAUCAUACCACGAAUGUUUUAGCUCAUCAAUCAAAGGUUGCAAAUAUACAUCAAUCAAACUUUUUGGAUUACGUGGAUCGGGGAUAAUACUAUUUAAAAAUAUAUAUGGACUUGUCAUACACAACUCAAGCAGUAGAUUGUAAGGUAUAAGAAAGGCAUGCCAGCAUGAAUAUGGUGUCUUUAAAGACCCAAAAUCCACUAUAGGUCGUGAUGGUAUCUAACGCCGCCAUCAGGCAAGCCAACAGUGAUUAAUCUACUAAGUUACUCAUUUUAUUAUUUUUAAAAUCAUGAAUCCCAUUGAAUAAGUAGUGUAAAAUCUAGUACUCGUAGAAAACCCGUGAUUUUAUUUUUCAAUUUCCGUAUAAGGUGUAAAUUACAAGGUGAAAUGCUAAUAAUUACGCGAACUACAAUAAUGAACACCCAGUAGGUACCUCCAAAACCCGGUGUCACAAGUGCAUGAGCAUUUACUAAGGAGUACAAUAAUAAUACAACAUCUAUCUAGAAUAUAAAUAAGACAGGAUAAAAUAAAUAGUACGAUGGAGACUCUGUGGACUGCGAUGUGUAGCAUGGAAUGCAGCUCAUAUGAAGUCUCCUCAACAGCAGCACCUGCGCGCCAAGAAGAUCAUCAAAUGAACCUGUCAGAUCCUGCACAUUUAGUGCAGAAGUGCAGCAUGAGUACGUAAAUAAACGUGUACCCAGUAAGUAUCUAGCCUAACCCCGGAAAAGUAGUGACGAGGGGUCGACGUCGACACUUACUAGUGGUCUAAUAAAUCAAUAUGGUAAAUCAUAAACAGAUAAGAGUACAACAAUAGUAUUGAGGUAAAUAUGUAACUAACACAAUCUUCCUAAAUUUGUUUUAACGAUAUCAAUUUCUCAAUCUCGUAUUCUAUCUCGACACCUCGAAAAUAUCAAGUGCCAAUAACAAACGGAUAAGAAUUCCCAUCUAAAAUGCAAGGCAUCAAUGGAAGGAAAAUCUCGCAAAUAUUCGGACUGCUGGCGAUAUAAUGCACGAUUAUGCCGAGGUCGUACGGCCAGAUCUCAGAAAGAAUAUGAUAUUGCCGAGGCGAUCGGCCCUAUCCCAUAAUAACGUGUACACCGCCGAGGGUCGAGCGGCACGAACCAUAGAUGCAUCUAUUAUACUGUCGAGGCGACUUGUCCGCUCCCAUUAGAGUGUGGUACAUAAUCCUGCCGAGGCGUUCGGCCCGCUCCACAAGAAAGGAAAGGAAUUUUCGAAUUACGAGACACGAGCUUACGAUAUAGUAUAUGAACACAAGGUGAGUAUAACCUGUAAUAUUUCUCAAAUAACUUGCCAACAACUCAAGGUAAUAAGGCUAGGCCUAAUGUAUAUUUAUAUAUUUCUAAAUCAAGUUCAAUUAUAAUUUCAAUUAAUUAAGCUAGCAUAAUGAAUUCAAAUAUUACAUGGUAAAGUCCUAAGUCUACCCGGACAUAAACAUGUUUUAGCUACGUACGGAUUCUCACCGCCUCGUGUGUACAUAGCACCCACAACUAAUAGCACAUAACAGUUACAUCUCCUAGGGGUAGUUUUCCCCUCACAAGUUAGACAUGAGACUUACCUCGCUCCAAAGUUCCAUAAUCGGCUCCAACGCUACUCUAACACUCAACUCCAAGCCAAAUAUUUCGAAACUAGUCAAACAAUCACAUAAGCCAAGAAACAUAUGCUCCAACAUCAUAAUUAAUUCAUAAUACUUCCCAAUUCCGCUCGAAAAGUCAAUAAAGUCAACCCUCGGGCCCACUUGCUCGGAUUUCGAAAAUAUUUGAAGAUAAACUUUAUCCAUAACACCACGAACUCAAAUAUAUGAUUUAUUCCUAAUUUCAUAUCCAAUUUAGUGGUAAAAAUCCAAAAUAUCAAUUUCUAGGUUUUUCCUUAAAAUCCCAUAAUUUUCAAAAGUUUUCAUGUAUUUACAAGCUCAAAUUCGUAUAUUUAACUCACAACUUGUAGAAAUUACUUACCUCAUAAUUGACGAUGAAAAUGACGCUCCAAAAUCGCUCCAAGGUCUGCUCCCAUGGAAGAAAUGAAAUUAAAUGAAAAUAAGCCAAACCCACAUACUUAACAAGGCCCCCUGCGGUCAUCGCACCCGCGGUCACUUGACCGCAUCUGCAGUUUCACAGGUGCGGUCCAAACAUCACAUCUAUUAAAACCCUAUGACUCCCAGCACUUCACUUUCACGGACAAGAGUUCGCUUCUGCGGGUCCGCUUCUACGGAAUUCCUCCACUUCUGCGCUCCUUCAGCCCAAGGCCCCUUCCCCCUUCUGUGACCCACAGCCUGCAUCUGCGAUCUCGCAGGUGCGGAAACUCCCUCGCACUUGCGCAACCAUAGCCUCUCACCCAGCACCACUUCUGUGACCCCUUCUAUGCAUCUGCGACUUCGCAGGUGUUGAAUAUUUCCUCGCACAUGUGCCCCCAGACCUUCUUCACAAAAAUCGCACCUGCGACGACUCCCUACCCACUUGCGUGACCGCACCUGCAUGCACCUACGGCCACUCCUUCCGCAUGAGUGAUUACACUAGUCUUCAGCAGCAACAACAUCUCCUCAAAUCCGAAUUCCAAUCCAUCUUAAAUCCAUUACAAACUCGAGGCCCCCGUGACCCUAUCCAAAUGUACCAACACAUCCCAAAAUGUGAUAAGGACUUAGUCGAAGCCUCAAAUCACGUCAAACUACAUCAAAAUUACGAAUCGAUGGCCAAAAACCUUUCUUCUAACUAUCCAACCUUCAAACUUUGCCGAGCACGUCGGAAUUACACUUAAACAUUUCGGAAUGAUACCAAACUUUAUGCACAAAUCACAAAUCAUGAUACGAACCUAUUUCAAGGCCCGGAACUCCAAACGGACAUCGAUAACAUCAAAAUCCACUUCAAACCUAACUUAUGAAAUUCUACAACUUUUAAAAUGCCAACUUUCCAUAAUAGGAGCCGAAAUACUUUCAGACCACUCGAUACUCAACCCGGCCAUACGUCCAAGUCCGAAAUAAUCAUACCAAUCUAUUGGAACCUUCAAAUCCCGAUUUCGAUGUCGUUUACUCAAAAGUCAAACCUUAGUCAACCCUUCCAACUUAAAGCUUUCGAAUUUAGAAUUUUCUUUCCAAAUUAACUCUGAACUUCCCGAAAUUCAAUUUCGACCAAACGUACAAGUCAUAAUACCUGAAGUGAAGCUACUCAAGGCCUCAAAUCGUUGAUCGACGCGAUAGAGAUCAAAAUGACUGAUCGGGUCAUUACAUUCUCCCCCACUUAAACAUACGUUCAUCCUCGAACGUGCCAAGAACUACUCUGGAGUUGUCCAAAAUCAUUGUUUAACACCUCGUGCACCUACCCGUGCCACCAUAACCCAUGUGAGCAGGUUAGCUUGAGCCAGACUGAAGAUUCUUCCUAUAACCUUAGCCAACAAGCUUUAGAACCAAAUUCCAACAUCCGAAAUUCUCCACGAGACCCAAUUCUAACAUAUGAACACUGCAUCAAUCACCACACACUAUAUCAACAUGAUCAUGCUCCUCUGUUGAAAUCACGCCAUGCAUCUCAUAAGUCGUUUGACCAUAAUAGCAUCCUCCGACCACAAUAGCUGAAAUUUCACGAAUCUGAUGCUCGCAAUACACCUCAUAACACAUGUAAGCCCAGCUCCAACUCUUGCAACACUACCACGACGAAAGAGAUGUGUAGAAACUCAUAACCACCUGCCGAAUCAACAAAUCAUGGAGUCUCUCCUCCUGACAAGAACUAUUAACUCACUAUGAACUGAAUAACGAUAUUUGCUCUUUAAUAUACCUGAUAUAAAUCUGAUUGCACUGAUUUUAGGUCCAAUAAUAUCGUCUCAUCCAGUACAAGCUGCUCAGGAAAUAAGCCCCUCAAACACUGACCAAGAUCUCAUAUGAUGUCAUCAAUGCGCCGAUAAGCCAUAACUUGAAUAUGACACAUAAGGAGGAACGAACUAUGGAAAAGAAUUACCCAGCCCACGUAACGAAUAAAACGGUCGAACAGAUGCCAUGAACCCUUUCUCAGAGAAUGAGAAACAAAAUACACAAGAAUAGAUAUAGGGAACCGUACUCAACAUCUCACUAUUGCGGCGUGCAACCCGAUCCACACAUGAUACCGUUGCGACGUGCAACCAGAUCCAAACAACAUACCCGUGGUGGCGGGACACCCGACCACACAUAACAAUAAAUAAGGAAAUACCCAUCAAGCUAUAAUGCUUAUACCUACAAAAUACCUGAAUAUCGACCACAAGCACGCUAAGUGCAAAAAUACAACCCUGGGGAGAUGGAUAGCGCCAUACGCUACAAAUCCCAGGCACGACUAAGGUGCAUUAAAUGACCUGCAUCUCGAGAGCCAUCCUGCUCAUAUAAUACCACAAAAUACACAGAGCCACAACAUAUGUGUGAAUAAUCAAGUCGUCUCACAACCCACAUGGCACAAUAGAGUAAUACAUAGAAUAGCUGACAACGAGAAUAACAUCCAACGCCCGAAGAAUCCUCUGUAUGCAAUGCUAUGCCGAAUUAACGCAUCCGACCUGACGUAGAGCACACAUUCACAUUAGACCCACCAACGGACCUCAAGCCGAUCCUGAUUAUACCAUACUGGGCCAACAACCUUUCGAGGAUCCACAAUGGCCCUAUUCAUGGCACACACGAGCAGUCAUCCUAAUCCGGAAAAAACUUCCACAGUUCACAACCAAAGGAAUAGAGUGCCUUUCAGGCAUAAACUCUCACAUUAACGAUGGUACCAUAAUCUCCAUGCUUGGUUUCAAUCUUUAACAAUCAAGUAACUAACAUGUCACACUUAUACAGAUGUCCCCGUGUGAUAUGCUGCCACGACCUUCCGUACCAGGUAGCUAGGUCUGCACCUCCAUACCACCAACAAUGCUAAUGUUAUAAAGCAAAUCGAGAAUCCGCAAAUCAGUACACAAAGCCUCUUACACAGGACACCGUUCUCAGGUGACACUAAAGAAAAUAUCAGCUUGCUUUGAACAUCUGAAUUCUUUUCUGCUCAUCCGAGCUCGUGACAUUCUUGUCAACAACGAACCGCAACCUUGAUCCUCAACUUCCAAUUUUCAUGCCGCUCAUUGCACCUAUCAUGUCGCUAUGUGAGAGUACAAGAAUUUCAUCAUAACUCCUGAACCACCAAUAGAAUAAACACUUCAUCGUCUAGAACCCUUUCACUCAACAUAUUUCAGAGGAACGAUGUCAACACGCAACCGAAUUCCCAUAACUGCAGAAAAUACAAAGCUCAAUAUGCGGUCUAAACCACCAUAACUCUUCCGGGAUCUAUCUACACAUAGAAGACCAUUAUAAUCAAAUACCUCCAAAUCAAUCAAAUUACGGUGGCUGUCAAGCCAGCACGUACCUCCACAAAUCACAUGUACAACUUUAACACACCGAAGGAACUGAUCAUUGCCUCAAUCACGUUGAUUCAAACCAUUACCAACCGACCCAACUUCCUCUGAUUUACUCUUGACCUACCUUAGAAAUAAUAAUAGCUCCAUUCAAAAACAUAACAAAACUAGAUUAACACUCAUCCCGAGUGACCCAAAUCACGAGAUCAUAUUAUCUCAAUACCCACUGUAAAAACUCGAUCUUUAACCACACAACGGACCCAAAAUCCUUAGACACCGCACUUACAUCCUUGAACCCAUUAGAACCACUAUUGAGAGUCACCCACUCUGUCCUGGUCCCGGGUAUAACCAAACUCCAACGCUCUGCUAGCACAUGAACACCCUCUCAAAGAAGCAACCGACUGAAUUCUUUUCCUUGUGCAUCGCACCCACAAGAAUCAUAAACUCUGAGUCUUCCCAAAACUGCACAUGAAUCGAUAAGGCAAAGUAUAGCACACAUUCAUCAAGUUCUUUGCUCGAAUUACCCCUGAUAUUUUACUUUCUUAGUCAUAAUAAUCCACCAAUGCACCGAUAACCAAAAAUCGCACAAGAAGACAACCACACGAUCCAAUUAUAGACUGUGGGCUCCCCCACUUAGCUUUAAGCUAUAAUUACUGUAAGGCCCCGUAAAUAUUGGAAUAGUUGAGUCAAAGCUCGUUUCAUAAUCUUUCUAACAUUAUUUCAUUUCAUUGGCACCAUUGGCCACAAUUAUAAAAUCACUCUUAGCAUGUUGGCCGUACUUAAUAUUUCAUGCUCACCUUUUUACUUUCAACUAUAAACAUCAUCAUCACUAACAACAACAAUUCAAAUCAAGGUGUGUAGUACACAUGUGAGCAAUUAAAAGUCUAAGGCACAUAGAGAUAUUUAACAAAAUUUGGCAUAAUAGCAUUCGUUUGAACUCGAUACAUUAUAAAGCACAUCCCAUACUUGUAAACAUCCUCAAUUGGUAAUAUAACAUGAAUAAAGCAUUUAGGAUUCUUAUUGAACAUAUAUCUUUCAACACAAACUUACUCGGAACAUAUAUCUUUCAACACAAACUUACUCGGGACAUAUAUCUUUAAACACAAGCCACUCGGGUCUUACAUAAUUUACAUGAACAUCGUGCUUUAAUAAUUAUUUUGAGACAUUAUUAGGAAGAUAUUCAUGAUCUCAGCUCAUUUGAGCAUUUUAUAAAACACUAGGUGUUUAAAUCUAACUACAAGGUUCUUCUACAAGAUUUCCUUCACUCCACAACCUAAUAUUUACUAUUUGAGCUCAACAAUCUUUCCAAGAAGUUUUGGAACAUGCUAAGGAGUUUUGGGAAUGUCAAGAUGUUCAUGUAAAUUAUGUAAGACCCGAGUGGCUUGUGUUGAAAGAUAUAUGUCCCGAGUAAGUUUGUGUUGAAAGAUAUAUGUUCCGAGUAAGUUUGUGUUGAAAGAUAUAUGUUUAAUAAGUAUCCUAAAUGCUUUAUUCAUGUUAUGUUGCCAAUUAAGGAUGUGUUCAAGUAUGGGUUGUGCUUUAAUAAUGUAUCGAGUUCAAACGAAGGCUAUUAUGCCAGAUUUUAUGAAAUAUCUCUAUGUGCCUUAGACUUUUAAUUGCUCACAUGUGUACUACACACCUUGAUUUGAAUUGUUGUUGUUGGUAAUGAUGAUGUUGAUGUUUGAAAGUAAAAAGGUGAGCAUGAAAUAUUAAGUACGGCCAACAUGCUAAGAGUGAUUUUAUAAUUGUGGCCAAUGGUGCCAAUGAAAUGAAAUAAUGUUAGAAAGAUUAUGAAAUGAGUUUUGACUCAACUAUUCCAAAAUUGACUUCGAUAAUAUAAUUCGCUAAAAGGUUAUAAACUCAAGUGAUGCCCAAAUGUGGUUUUUUUAGCUAAUGUUAUGCUUUGUAAGUAUAUUUCAAUGUGUUUUGUGUUCUUACACAUUUGUGAGUGGAAAUUGUGUAUCAUCUUAACUUGUGCUUCGAUUGCCAAUCAUUUCACUCCAUUUAUUGGAAAGAAAUCUAUUGUGUUUAAAGCCUUCAUUACUAAUGAACUUAAAGUUGUGAAUUCUGAAAUAUUCUACUUGUAGAUAAUUAUGAUGAUGAUCUAUGAAAGGGAAGAAAUGAAAGUGUGGAAUAUGAUAUACGGCCACAGCGCCAUGAACGAAUAAGAAUAUGUAUGGCCAAGGAACCAAUAAAAUAAUGAUGUUGUAAGUAGUUGAAAGUAAUUGUGAAGUGAUUUAUGGUGGGGAAGGUUAUGAGACGAAUGUAUUUGUACUUAUGUUUCCAAUGUGUUAUAAGCUUUUACGCCCUCAUGCGGAGAGGCUAUAGCAUUCCUAAAUAUUUUAAAUGUUCUUGAUGUCCUAUGAUCACCCAUGGCAAGUACAAUAAAUGAUGAUAAAUCUUAUGAAAAUGAAUUUGGGCCAUGUGCCAUUGAAAUUGGCUUAUUGAUUCACCAUAAAUGUGCUAAUGUAAUGAGCGAUGUUUCUCCAUAAUGAGCAUGAACAUGACGUGUAUCAAUGAUCCGGGAACUUAAGAUCUUAAAAGUAAUGUUAAUCAUGUCGCUUUGAGUUUAUACAUGGUUAUAUGCAUAAUGAUGUGUUAUGAACCCUAUGGACGGUCUAUGAAAAGCAUAGGUAUAUCUUGUUAUGAAAUCCUAUGGACGGUCUAUGAAGCGUAUAGGUAUAUUAUGCUAUGAAAUCCUAUGGACGGUCUAUGAAAUGCAUAGGUAUAUCUUGUUAUGAAAUCCUAUGGACGGUCUAUGAAACGCAUAGGUAUAUUGUGUUAUGAAAUCCUAUGGACGGUCUAUGAAAUGCAUAGGUAUAUUGUGUUAAGAAAUCCUAUGGACAGUCUAUGAAAUGCAUAGGUAUAUCAUGUUAUUAAAUCACUGUGAACGGUCUAUGAAAUGCACAGGUGUAUUUGUAUUGUAUAUGUAAUCCUGUGAAUGGUCUAUAAAACGCACAGGUGUAUUGUAUAAGUAUACACUGUGAACGGUAUAUGUAAUGCACAAGUGUAUUUGUAUUGUGUAAGUAAACACUGUGAACGGUCUAUGAAACGCACAGGUGUACUGUAUAGAUGAUAUUGUGAACGGUCUAUGAAACGCACAUUUGUAUUGUGUAAAUAAACACUGUGAACGGUCUAUGAAACGCACAUGUGUAUUGUAUGAUAUAUGUGAAUCCUAUGAACGGUCCAUGAGACGCAUAGGUGUAUUGUCUAUGGAAUCCUAUGAACGGUCUAUGAAAUGUAUAGGUGUAAGAUAAGAGUGGGAUAUGGACGGUCUAGUGAGACGCAUUGUUAAUGCAGACAUUACGUGCCAUUUUCAUUGGCCUUGUUCGUGCAUGUUGUUUCAAUUAAUUUAUAUUAUGUGUUCCACGUAUAGAUCAUAUUGGCAUUCUAUUUUGAAAGAGGAUUUUUUAGCUAUACAUACUAGUGCUAUUCGACAGUACUAACUUCCCUUUUGCUGAGGGCGCUGCAUCUUUUAAUGGAUGCAGGUGUACUUCUACAGGAUGAUAUGGAUCUUUGAUAAGGAUCUUCUGCGCAACAGAUUAUGGUGAGCCCGCUACAAUUCCAGUGGGCAUUUGAGUCUAGUUGGUUUUAUGUACUUAGGUAUCUAUUGUCAUAGAAGCUUCAUGUACACUGUGGGUCACGCACUUAAGUUUUUGAGUUUCGUCAUGUAAUUAUGUUCACAAAUAUUCAUGAAGCUAUGUACCCAUCACGAGAGAAAAAGAAAAGAAAAGAAAAGAAACAAUUACAGGCCAUUGAGCCAAAUGCAUUCAAAUAUGAAAGUCAUGAUUUAAUUAUGUUUUGAUAAAUCAAGUAUGAGUUAUGACAAGAGGUUGAUGUAACGUAGGCUUGCUCGACUAGGUUCACUCGGUUGAGCGUCGGUCGCGCUCCUCGAGUUUGGGGCGUGACAAACUUGGUAUCAGAUCACGGUUUAGGAGUCCUAAGGUGUCAUGGAGCUGUGUCAGUAGAGUCCCUCUUAUCGGUGUGUUGCCGGCCACCCUUAUAAUAGGGAGGCUACAACAAUAAUUUGGAAAUAUUUCUCUUCUUUUAUCCUCGAUCGUGCGUUAAGGUUCUGAGUUAGUCUCUGAGUUCACUUGUUAAUGUCAAGGAAUGUUUGCACAUCAUGCUAUGAAAUUAUAAAGGCAUAAGGAUUAAAGGAAUGACGCACAUGCCAGGAAUAAUGUGUAAGGUGCCCAAUUGUCCUCGUAAUGGAGGAAGGAAAAGUCAAGGAUACGACCAAGUUAAGCAAGGUCAUACAGUUAGCCUCGAGAGUCAUGGUUGUUGAUUUCAUGUAUAUGGUACAAUGUAGUGUUAUCUAUAUGUUGUUUAGGAUUAAUUUCUGGGAUUCUCUGACAGGUGGAUAGGCCUAGUUACAAUGGAGACUCUGCCGAAAUUUCUGAAAAGUUUUGGAGUUAGUCAAAUUUGGGGGAUUAAAAUAUUUGAAAGAAGAGUCGAGUUAUGUUAAAUGUUUUGGGAUGGACUCUACUCCUCAUUUGAGGACGAAUGAUCCUAAGUGGAGGAGAAUGUAAGGCCUCAUAAAUAUUUCCUAAUGAUUUAUGUUUUUAAAGUGCGCCAACGGUAUCUGGGAAUAACGUAUUUGAGUAUUAAAAGGAGACCUAUGGGAUAGAGCCACAUCAUGUUGAAUUGAUAAUGUAUGUUUAAGGUGUGUUGGAACAUACUAAGGAAUUUUGGGAAUGGCAAGAACUUGUGUGGAACAAGUUGGACUCAUUAAGUAGAAAGGAUGUUUCAAUUGGCACAAGACCCAAAUUCAAAUGCAUAGAACUCCCACAAUAUAAUGCCUUACGUAGUGAUCUACCUAUCCAAUUAAUUCUCUUUGAAUCUAGUUUCUAAUGCAUCAAACCGUUUGUCAUUUGGAUAUAUAUAUAUACAGAACGUUAUGGCCAUUUUACUGGACCUCUGUCAUAUGCGCGCCCAGAUGCGCGGCCGAGCAUAUUUUAGAGUUUCUUCCUCAAAUCCGCGGCCGUGCAAGUGGGAACUCAUUAAACAACCACAAAGACGGGAAUAGAGGGGGGUUAAGUCAUUUUGGCCAACAUUUUGAUAUUUUUAGAGAGAAGGAAGAGUGUUUUAGAGAGAGAGAGGAAACCCUAGGCAAAUUAUUCAUCAAGUCUUGCUCAAGCCUUGGAAGAUUAACAAGGAAAUCUCACAAGUUCUUAAUCUAAGAGGUAAGAUUCAAACCCAUAAUCUUUUAUUUUGAAUGUAGGUAAACGAUGGUUGAUUUGGAGUAUGAUUCUUGGGUAUAAGAGCAUUAUAUAUACAUGCUUGUACUAAUAAGGUUUAUGGAAAGUGUUUUGAGCUCAAAUAGUAAAUAUUAGGUUGUGGAGUGCAGGAAAUCUUAAACAAGAACCUUGUAGUUAGAUUUGCACACCUAGUGUUUGAUAAAAUGCUCAAAUGAGCUGAGAUCAUGAAUAUCUUCCAAAUAAUAUAUCAAAAUANNNNNNNNNNNNNNNNNNNNNNNNNNNNNNNNNNNNNNNNNNNNNNNNNNNNNNNNNNNNNNNNNNNNNNNNNNNNNNNNNNNNNNNNNNNNNNNNNNNNNNNNNNNNNNNNNNNNNNNNNNNNNNNNNNNNNNNNNNNNNNNNNNNNNNNNNNNNNNNNNNNNNNNNNNNNNNNNNNNNNNNNNNNNNNNNNNNNNNNNNNNNNNNNNNNNNNNNNNNNNNNNNNNNNNNNNNNNNNNNNNNNNNNNNNNNNNNNNNNNNNNNNNNNNNNNNNNNNNNNNNNNNNNNNNNNNNNNNNNNNNNNNNNNNNNNNNNNNNNNNNNNNNNNNNNNNNNNNNNNNNNNNNNNNNNNNNNNNNNNNNNNNNNNNNNNNNNNNNNNNNNNNNNNNNNNNNNNNNNNNNNNNNNNNNNNNNNNNNNNNNNNGAGUAAGUUUGUGUUGAAAGAUAUAUCUUCCGAGUAAGUUUGUGUUGAAAGAUAUAUGUUCAAUAAGUAUCCUAAAUGCUUUAUUCAUGUUAUGUUACCAAUUGAGGAUGUGUUCAAGUAUGGUAUGUGCAUUAAUAAUGUAUCGAGUUCAAACAAAGGCUAUUAUGCCAAAUUUUUGAAAUAUCUCUAUGUGCCUUAGACUUUUAAUUGCUCACAUGUGUACUACACACCUUGAUUUGAAAUGUUGUUGUUGGUUAUGAUGAUGUUUAUGUUUGAAAGUAAAAAGGUGAGCAUGAAAUAUUAAGUACGGCCAACAUGCUAAGAGUGAUUUUAUAAUUGUGGCCAAUGGUGCCAAUGAAAUGAAAUAAUGUUAGAAAGAUUAUGAAACGAGCUUUGACUCAAUUAUUCCAAAAUUGACUUCGAUAAUAUAAUUCGGUAAAAGCUUAUGAACUCAAGUGAUGCCCAAAUGUGGCUAUUUUAGCUAAUUCUAUGCUUUGUAAGUAUUUUCAAUGUGUUUUGUGUUCUUACACAUUUGUGAGUGGAAAUUGUGUAUCAUCUUAACUUGUGCUUCGAUUGCCAAUCAUUUAACUCUAUUUAUUGGAAAGAAAUCUAUUGUGUUUAAAGCCUUCAUUACUAAUGAACUUAAAGUUGUGAAUUCUGGAAUAUUCUACUUGUUGAUAAUUAUGAUGAUGAUCUAUGAAAGGGAAGAAUUGAAAGUGUGGAAUAUGAUAUACGGCCAUAGUGCCAUGAAUGAAUAAGAAUAUGUAUGGCCAAGGGAGCCAAAGAAAUAAUGAUGUUGUAAGUAGUUGAAAGUAAUUGUGAAGUGAUAUAUGGUGGGGAAGGUUAUGAGACGAAUGUAUUUGUACUUAUGUUUCCAAUGUGUUAUAAGCUCUUACGCCCUCAUGAGGAGAAGCUAUAGCGUUCCUAAAUAUUUUAAAUGUUCUUGAUGUCCUAUGAUCACAUAUGGCAAAUACAAUAAAUAAUGAUAAAUCUUAUGAAAAUGAAUUUGGGCCAUGUGCCACUGAAAUUGGCUUAUUGAUUCACCAUAAAUGUGCUAAUGUAAUGAGCGAUGUUUCUCCAUAAUGAGCAUGAACAUGAAGUGUCUCAAUGAUCCGGGAACUUACGAUCUUAAAAGUAAUGUUAAUCAUGUCUCUUUGAGUUUAUACAUGGUGAUAUGCAUAAUGAUGUGUUAUGAACCCUAUGGACGGUCUAUGAAACGCAUAGGUAUAUCUUGUUAUGAAAUCCUAUGGACGGUCUAUGAAACGCAUAGGUAUAUUAUAUUAUGGAAUCCUAUGGACGGUCUAUGAUAUGCAUAGGUAUAUUGUGUUAUGAAAUCCUAUGGACGGUCUAUGAAACGGAUAGGUAUAUUGUGUUAUGAAAUCCUAUGGACGGUCUAUGAAACGCAUAGGUAUAUCUUGUUAUGAAGUCCUAUGGACGUUCUAUGAAACGCAUAGGUAUAUUGUGUUAUGAAAUCCUAUGGACGGUCUAUGAAACGCAUAGGUAUAUUGUGUUAUGAAAUCCUAUGGACGGUCUAUGAAACACACAAGUGUAUUUGUAUUGCGUAAGUAAACAUUGUGAACGAUCUAUGAAACGCACAAGUGUACUGUAUAGAUGAUACUAUGAACGGUCUAUGAAACGCACAGUUGUAUUGUGUACGUAAACACCGUGAACGGUCUAUGAAACGCACAUGUGUAUUGUAUGAUAUAUGUGAAUCCUAUGACCGGUCCAUGAGACGCAUAGGUGUAUUGUCUAUGGAACUCUAUGAACAGUCUAUGAAAUGUAUAGGUGUAAGAUAAGAGAAGGAUAUGGACGGUCUAGUGAACUGCAUUGUUAACGCAGACAUUACGUGCCAUUUUCAUUGGCCUUGUUCGUGCUUGUUGUUUCAAUUAAUUUAUAUUAUGUGUUCCACGUAUAGAUCAUAUUGGCAUUCUAUUUUGAAAGAGCAUUUUUUAGCUAUACUUACUAGUGCUAUUCGACAGUACUAACGUCCCUUUUGUCGGGGGCAAUGCAUCUUUUAAUGGAUGCAGGUAUACUUCUACAGGAUGAUAUGGAUCUUUGAUAAGAAUCUUCUUCGCAGCAGAUUAUGGUGAGCCCGCUACAAUUCCAGUGGGCAUUUGAGUCUAGUUGGUUUUAUGUACUUAGGUACCUAUUGUCAUAGAAGCUCCAUGUAUAUUGUGGGUCAUGCACUUAAGUUUUUGAGUUUUGUCAUGUAUUUAUGUUCACAAAUAUUUAUGAAGCUAUGUACCCAUCACGAGAGAAAAAGAAAAGAAAAGAAAAAAACAAUUACGGGCCAUUGAGCCAAAUGCAUUCAAAUAUGAAAGUCAUGAUUUAAUUAUAUCUUGAUAAAUCAAGCAUGAGUUAUGAUGAGAAUGUAACAUAGGCUUGCUCGAUUGGGUUCACUCGGUUGAGCGUCGGUCGCGCUCCUCGAGUUUGGGGCAUGACAAUUACAUAAACCUAAAACCCAUAAAGAUUCCUCCUUCUCAAUUACCAUGAUCUCGCACCUUUAACCGGCCAAAUUUCUCAAAAUCUUUUGUUAAACGUUUCAUGAACAUUCUGAAUCAUCAGCCAUAAUCACAUAUUCGACAUCCUACCGGGUAGCAAGUAGAAUUCUUCGUAGAAGCUUCAUCAACAUUACACAAUCGCUAACCUACUCACAGGAGAUAACUCGCCUGUGGAAUUCCAUGCCGACAUCUUCCAACGACGUUUCACUGGGUACAACUACCACGCAUUCAGUAAACCCUCCUGAGCCCAUGCUCGUCCACCAGUUGUACAAGUCUAUUCCUUCCCCAUUGACAUCAACUGAAAGUCCGACAAUACGUUCCAAACUCGAAGUCAUGUUGAAUCUAAAAAUGGUAAUCAAGUUUUCACACCCCUCUUCAUUUCAAACAAACUCCUUUUUGCCAUACUCAAUCUUCCUCAGUGCAGUAGCUUCCAUCUCAAAUAAAAUCCGUAGACCAAGUCGCUUCCCACAACGAUUCCCAAAUCGCUCUAAACCUUUCUCAAGGCAUGUGGCUAUCCUACCACAGAAUCCAUAUGCUACUCUACCACUCUCACUUCGGUUAAACCAUCUCCUUUAAGCAAUUUCUCGACCUCUGCUCUUCAUAUUUGACCUGCUAGUAAUUCAACCACCGCAAGACACCUCCCGCGAUGUCCUUUCUCAUCCUUCGCUGCCCAAAUAUUGCCUCAAAUCAAAUCCAUACCUAUAGCACCUGAACUAAUAAAUUACUACCAACUCAAAACCUCCUAGAAGAUCAUCUUUCUCGAGCCAUCAACAUUAGAAACACCAAUUCGAUUCCGAAACAGCUACACACCGCUAUCUCUGACAACUAUUUCUCAAGCACCAUUUCACAACAAUCUGUUCCGCAAGGUAACGAUAAUAGCUCACUCAAAUACUCAAGGAGAAAAACAUCAUGCACCAUAUUUGCGGUUCCAUUUACAACUCCUCGAUGCCCAAUUGAUAACAAGUGCCCCACGUCGCAUAAGAUUGAGUACUAAGGAAAUGAAGGCAUGAGCUUUAAUAGAAUUAAAUCGCACGAUGAGGAAUCAAGAAGGGAAGUGCUCCAAAAAACCCUGUAUCCUCCCAAAGAUAAGUACAGACGUCUCUGUACCGAUCCGCAGGACUCUACUAGACUUGCUCAUGACUCGUGAGACCUAAAUAAACCUAACACUCUAAUACUAAGCUAUCAUGACCAAAAAAUCCACUAUAGGUCAUGAUGGCGCCUAACGCCGCCGUCAGGCAAGCCAACGAUGAUUAAUCAACUUAGUUACUCAUUUUAUUAUUUUUGAAAUCAUGAAUCCCAUUGAAUAAGUAGUGUAAAAUCUAGUACUCGUAGAAAACCCGUGAUUUUAUUUUUCAAUUUCCGUAUAAGGUAUAAAUUACAAGGUGAAAUGAUAAUAAUUACGCGAACUACAAUAAUGAACACCUAGUAGGUACCCCGAAAAAUCCGGUGUCACAAGUGCAUGAGCAUUUACUAAGGAGUACAAUAAUAAUACAACAUCUGUCUAGAAUAUAAAUAAGACAGGAUAAAAUAAAUAGUACGAUGGAGACUCUGUGGACUGCGAUGUGUAGCAUGGAAUGCAACUCAUAUGAAGUCUCCUCAACAGCAGCACCUACGCGCCAAGAAGAUCAUCAAAUGAACCUGUCAGAUCCUGCACAUUUAGUGCAGAAGUGCUGCAUGAGUACGUAAAUCAACGUGUACCUAGUAAGUAUCUAGCCUGAUACCGGAGAAGUAGUGACGAGGGAUCGACAUCAGCACUUACUAGUGGUCCAAUAAAUCAAUAUGGUAAAUCAUAAACAGAUAAGCGUACAACAAUAGUAGUGAGGUAAAUCUGUAACUAACACAAUCUUCCAAAAUUUCUUUUAACGAUAUCAAUUUCUCAAUCUCGUAUUCUAUCUCGACAGCUCGGGAAUAUCAAGUGCCAAUAACAAACGGAUAAGAAUUCCCAUAUAAAAUGUAAGGCAUUAGUGGAAGGAAAAUCUCGCGAAUAUUCGGACUGCUAGCGUUAUAGCGCACGAUUAUGCCCAGGUCGCACGGCCAUAUUUGAGAAACAAUAUGAUACUAUCGAGGUGAUCGUCUCGAUCCCAUCAUAAUGUGUACACUACCGAGGGUCGAGCGGCAUGAACUAGAGAUGCAUCUAUUAUACUAUUGAGGUGAACGGCCUGCUCCCAUGAGAGUGUGGUACAUAAUCCUGUCGAGGCAUUUGGCCCGCUUCACAAGAAAGGAAAGGAAUUAUCGAAUUACGAGACACGAGCUUACGAUACAGUAUAUGAACACAAGGUGAGUAUAAACUUUACCGUUUCUCAAAUAACUUGCCAACAACUUAAGACAAUAAGGCUCGGCCUAAUGUAUAUGUAUAUAUAUUUCUAAAUCAAGUUCAAUUAUAAUUUCAAUUAUUUAAACCAGCAAAAUGAAUUCAAAUAUUUCAUAUAUUACAUGGUAAAGUCCUAAGUCUACCCGGACAUAAACAUGUUUUAGCUACGUACAGACUCUCGUAACCUCGUGCAUAUAUAGCACCCACAACUAAUAGCACAUAACAAUUACAUCACCUAUGGGGUAGUUUCCUCCUCACAAAGUUAAACAGGAGAUUUACCUCACUCCGAAGUUCCAUAACCGGCUCCAACGCCACUCUAACACUCAACUCCAAGCCAAACGUUCCGAAACUAGUCAAACAAUCAUGGAAGCCAAUAAAACUAUACUCCAACAUCAUAAUUAAUUAAUUCAUAAUACUUCCCAACUCCACUUGAAAAGUCAAUAAAGUCAACCCUCGGGCCCACGUGCCCGGAUUCUGAAACUAUUUGAAGAUAAACUUUACCUAUAACACCACGAACUCAAAUAUAUAAUUUAUCCCUAAUUCCAUGUCCAAUUUCGUGGUUAAAAUCCAAAAAUACUAAUUUCUAGGUUUUCUCUUUAAAUCCCACAAUUUCCAUAAUUGUUCAUGUAUUUACAAGCCCAAAUUUGUAUAUUUAACUCACAACUUGUAGAAAUUACUUACCUCAUGAUUAACGAUGAAAAUGACGCUCCAAAAUUGAUCCAAGGCUGGAUCCCAUGGAAGAAAUGAAAUAAAAAUAAGCCAAACCCAUGUACUUAACAUGGCCCUAUGCAUAGCGGUCAUCGUACCUGCGGUCACUUGACCGCAUCUGCGGUUUCGCAGGUGCGGUCCAAACAUCGCAUCUAUGAAAACCCCCUGCCUCCCAGCAGUUCACUUUUGUGGACAAGAGUCCGCUUCUUCGCUCCUUUAGCCCAAGUCCCCUUCCCGCUUCUGCGACCAACAGCCCGCACUUGCGAGCUCGGAGGUGCGGAAAUUCUCUCGCACCUACGCAACCAUAGCCUCUUGCCCAGCACCGCUUCUCCAACCCCUUCUCCGCAUCUGCGACUUCGCAGGUGUGGAAUAUUUCCUCGCACCUGUGCCCCCAGACCUUCUUCACGAAAAUCGCACCUGUGAUGACCCCCUACGCACCUGCGGCCACUACUUCCGCAGGUGCGAUUACACCAGUCGUCAGCAGCAACAGCAUCUCCUAAAAUCCAAAUUCCAAUUCAUUUUCAAUCUGUUUCAAACUUGAGGCCCCCGGGAUCCCAUCCAAACGUACCAACACAUCGUAAAAUGCGAUACGGACUUAGCCGAAGCCUCAAAUCAGGUCAAACCACAUCAAAAUUAUGAAUCGAUGGCCAAAAACCUUUCUUCCAUUUUUCCAACCUUCAAACUUCGCCGAACGCGCCCGAAUUACACCUAAACAUUUUGGAAUGACACAAAACAUUACACACAAGUCACAAAUCACGAUACGAACCUAUUCUAAGGCUCAGAACUCCAAACGGGCAUCGAUAACAUCAAAAUCCACUUCAAACCAAACUUAUGAAAUUCUAGAACUUCCAAAAUGCUAACUUUGCAUAAUAGGCGCCGAAAUGGUUCCGGACUGCCCGAUACUCAACUCGAACAUGCGUCCAAGUCCGAAAUCAUCAUACGAAUCUAUUGGAACCUUAUAAUCUCAAUUCCGAGGCCGUUUACUCAAAAGGCAGACCUUAGUCAACCCUUCAAACUUAAAGAUUCUGAAUUUAGAAUUUUCUUUUCAAAUCAACUCUGAACUUCCUGAAAUUCAAUUUCGACCACACGUAUAAGUCAUAAUACCUGAAGUGAACUACUGAAGGCCUCAAACCGCUGAUCGACGCGCUAGAGCUCAAAAUGACCGAUCAGGUCGUUACAGUAUCGCAGAGAUAGAAAAGGGCGUGAAGCCAUCCGCACACAAACCUAACCGAAUGUUCCUUGGUUCACUAGCAUAAUCUGGAUAUGUCCUAUCAAAGUCCUUCCAAGAUUCUCUAUCUGAAGAAUGAUACAUAACACCAAGUGGUCUUCUAUUUUCAAAGUGCCAUCUCAUAUGAGAAGCGGAACUCAUCGAUGCGUAUAACCUCUUUAACCUAGGUAUAAGAGGUAAAACAUGCAUCGCCUUCACAACAACCAUAUUCUCGCUGGAAAGCCUCUUAAAAGGAGGCUUUUCACAGAAUUUACAACUUUCUAAAAUUGCAUCAUCUUUAUAAUAUAGCAUGCAACCAUCUUCACAACAAUCAAUUCUCGUUGACGACAGUCCUAACUUAGAAACCAUUUUUUUUGCCUUAUAGAAAUAACCAGGUAAGUUGAUAUCUGGGUCAACUAGUUCACUCUAAGGCUAAUGAAAGAGUCCAUGGCCGCUUGAGAAAUAUUCCAAACAUAUUUGAUACUUAGUAAUCUAACCGCAACAGACAGCUCAGAGUGAGAACUUCCUUCACGUAAUGGACGACUAGCUUCCUCUAACUAUUCAUAAAACCGUUUUGCAUCAUCGUUAGGAGCUUGUUCAACAUUUUCAUCUUCCUCAACCCCGAAGUGCAUCCCAAAAGCAUCCGUAACCAUAUCAUGAAUUCUAGAAUCUUGAUUCAUAUUCUCCACCGACCUACUACUUUCACCCGCAACCAUGUUAUGAAUUAUUUCAAAGCUACCAUCAAUCUCUCCAUUAUUAGACCACACAAAUUAAUUCUCUAUAAACACCCAACUAAAGAUGCAUCUUAACUUCCUCCGGUUUUUUAAACAUCACACUUUACACAAGGACACCUAAUUACUCAUUCAAUUUGGUAUGAUGAAAGUGACAUUAUAUGUCUUAUAAAGUCAUCAACCCCUUCUACAAAAUCAUCUCUCAAUCCCCGCCGAUUAGGAUAAUUCCUAUUAUACAUCCAAGUAUGAUGCUCCAUCUAUACAAUGAAAAAAACGAAAUUGAGAUAUUUUCAUAAGUAAUUAUGAUAACUAAUUGCGAUAAAUUAUAAAUUAAUUAUGAUAAGUAAUUCCACUAUUUUAAAUUAAGUAAUUAAUAUUGUGUUAAUUAAGAUAACUAAUUGUGAUAGUUUUUAGUUAAUUAAGAUAACUAAUUAAUUAUGAUAAGUAAUUAUACAAUUAUAAAUUAAUUAAUUUAUAUUGAAUUAAUUAAGGUAACUAAUGGUGAUAAUUAUUUGUGAAUUAAGUGUCACGACCCAAAAUUCACUAUAAGUCGUGAUGGCGCCUGACACCACCGUCAGGCAAGCCAACGGUGAUUGAUCGACUUGUUUACUCAUUUUAUUACUUUGAAAUCAUAAUUCCAAUUAAUUAAGUAGCAUAAAAUAGAAUUUACAGGGUAAAUGAUAAUAUAUACACGAACUACAAUGAUGAACAACCAAUAGGAAUCCCGAAAAUCCGAUGUCACAAGUGCAUCAGCAUCAACUAGGAAAUAUAAUAAAAUACAUCAUCUGUCUGGAAUACAAUUUAGACAUGAGAAUAGAAAUAACUCUGAUGGAGACUCUGCAGGCUGCGGAUCGUAACAUGGAAUGCAGCUCACGGUAAAAUUCCUGCAACAGCCGCGCCUCUGCACCCCAAAAGACCGCCAGACAUAUAUGUACCUACACAAUAAGUGCAACAAGUGUAGCAUGAGUACGUAAAUUAAUGCGUACCCAGUAAGUAUCUAGCCUAACCCCAGAGAAGUAGUGAUGAGGGGUCUACAUCGACACUUACUAGUGGUCCAAUAAGACAGAUACAGUAGAAGUAAACAGAUGUGACCUAGAGUAAAUAAACGAAAUAACAAGUAUAAAUACGUGGUAUAAUUUCCCUCUCAGAAAUAACUCAAACUCUUAACUAGUAGUUACCUCCACAAUCGGAGUAUAUAUAAUGGACCUCACCAGAUAGGUCGUCACAGUUCAUAUCAGAAAAACUCGCAGAUAUACUGGCUUCUUGUCAAUUAUUACGCACGAUUUCAUAAGAGUAUUUUAUAGAAAUGCCGAGGCAUACGGCCUGAUCCAUCAUAAUAUUGCUGAACCAUAGAUACAUCUAUUGUAUUGCCGAGGCGAAUGGCUCGUUCAUAUGAGAGUGUGAUACAUAAUCCUGUCGAGGCGAACGGCCCGAUCCCAUCAAAAUGUGCGCAGUGCGGAGGGUCGAACAGCACGAACUAUAGAUGUAUCUAUUAUACUGCCGAGGCGAACGGAUCGAUCCCAUUAGAAUAAGAAGCUUUGACGGGUACUUGACCCCACUCACGAAUAGACGUGUGAGUUAUAAAUUUUAAGGGAAACCUUUCGAUGAAAACGCAUAACGCGGAAGAAAUUCGUAAGAGGAGUACAAUUAUUUCGUCGGCUAAUCAUGAAGCCCGUCGAGUCUCUACAAUAGCAAGUCUAUCACUCUACACAAGUCUAGUCUUAAGUCGCAACGUAACAAUAAAGGAAAUUUAAUAGGCAAGAGACAACUCAAAUAAUACAGUUAUAGCAUGGCGUGAACCUAAGUCUACCAAGACAUAACAUGAAUCUAGCUACAUACGGACUUUCGUCACCUCGUGCGUACCUAGCCCCCGUAACAAGUGGCACAUAUCAAAUACAUCAUCUAGGGGUAGUUUCCCCCUCACAAAGUUAGACAGGAGACUUACCUCACUCCGAAGUUCCAUAACCGGCUCCAACGCCACUCAAACACCUCAAAUUGAUGGUCGUCUCUCCAAACUAGUCAAACAAAUGUGCAAAACCAUAAAUAUAUACUCUAUUAUCCAUAAUUAAUAUAUUUAUAACAAUCCCCAACUCCGCUCGAAUAUUCAAUAAAAUCAAUCUUCAGGCCCACGUGCCCGAAUUCCGAAAGUUUUCAAAGAAAAUCAUUACCCAUAACAAUUACGAACUCAAAUAUAUAAUUUAUUCCUAAUUUCAUGUCCAAUUUCGUGGUCAAAAUCCAAAAAUACAAAUUUCUAGGUUUUUCUUCAAAAUCUCAACAUUUCCACUAAUAUUUAUGUUUAAAUCCACAUACAAUCAUGUAUUUAACUCACAAUAUGUGGGAGUUACUUACCUUGACAUAGAUGAUGAAAACCUCCACUUGAAGCUCUACAAAAAUCGCCCAAACCAAGAGAGAAUGAAAGAAAAUGGGCCAAAUCCCGUUCUUAAAACAACAUUGCCCCAGUGACCUUUUGCAUUUACGGAAUAGUAGCCACAUCUGCGGAAACAUCCUCGCAGAUGCGGCUACCCCCAAGGCCAGCACUUUUCGCUUCUACGGCCAAUCAACCGCAAGUGCGCAUCCGCUUGAACACAGAUCGAACACAACUCCGCACCUGCACGCCCAUGACCACACUUGCGGCUCCGCAGGUGCGCUACAGCACCCGCACCUGCAAUCAACCAGCCCUAGGCCACUUCCGCUUCUGCGCUCCCCCGCCCGCAUCUGCGAGCCCGCAGGUGUGGCAAAUUCCUCGCACCUGCGAUUCCCAUCCAGCUCACUCUGUACCGCUUCUGCGACUCCUGGGCCGCUUCUGCGGUCUUGCACCUGUGGCCAUAACCUCGCAGGUGCGAUCGCACCAGAAGCCUUAAGCAUUAGCACUUCUUCCAAGUCCAAACUCGACCCGUUUCGAACCCGAUUCGCACCCGAGGCCUCCGGGACCCGGUCCAAACAUACCAACACAUACCACCACACGAUACGAAGUUAGUCGAAACCUCGAAUCACGUCAAACAACAUCAAAAUUAUGAAUCACGCCUUGAAUCAACUUAUAAAUUCUCAAAUUUCCAAAUUCUAUAUCUUGUGCCGAAACGUACCAAAUCAAUCUGGAAUAACUUCAAAUUUUUUGCACAGGCCACAAAUAACAAAACAAACCUAUUCCAAGGCUCGGAACCUCAAACAAACAUCAGUAACAUCAAAAUCAACUUCAAAUCAAACUUAUGAAAUUCUAAAACCUUCAAAAUGCUAACUUUUCAUAAUAAGCUCUGAAAUGCUCUCGGCGACCCUAUACUCAACCCAAACAUACACCCAAGUCUGAAAUCAUCAUACGAACCUAUUGGAACCUUCAAAUCCCGAUUCUGAGGUCAUUUACUCAAAAGUCAAACGUUAGACAAUUGUUCUAACUUAAAGCUUCCAAAAUUAAAAGUUUUUUCCAAAUCAACUCCGAACUUCUCGAAGUUCAAUCCCGACCACACGUACAAGUUAUAAUACCAGAAGUGAAGCUACUCAAGGCCUUAAACCGCCGAACAACGCGCUAGAGCUCAAAACGAUCGGUCGAGUCGUUACAUUCUCCCCCACUUAAACAUAUGUUCGUCCUCGAACGUGCUAAGAAUGUUGCGGAGUUGUCCAAAGUCAUUGUUUAACACCUCGUGUACCUGCCAGUGCCAUCACAACCCAGCUAAGCACAUUAGCUCUAGCUAGACUGAAGAUCCUCCCUUUCAUUUAGUCAAUAAGCCUUAGAACCAAAUUCCAAGCUCUAGAUUUCUCUUCAAGACCUGAUUCUAACAUACGAACAUCGCAUUAGUCACUACACACUGUACCAAAACAUGAUCAUGCACCCAUGAAGUCACACCACGCACCACAUAAGUCGGUCGCCCAUGGAAACAUCUUCUGACCACCAUAGCUGGAAAUUUCACGAAUUUGAUGCCUGCAGUACACCUCAUGACUCAUAUAAGUCUUGUUCCCACUCUCGCAAUACUGCCAGGACAGAAAAGAUGUAUAGAACUAAUAACCACCCACCGAAAUAAUAAAUCAUGGAGUCUCUCCUCCCGACAAGGACCAUUACCUCAUUCUGAACUGAAUAAUGAUAUAUGCUCUUUAAUAUACCCUACAUAACUCUGAUCACACUUAUCCCAAGUCCAAUAACCUCGUCUCACCCAGUACAAGCUGCUCAAGCAAUAAGCCAUAUCAAACACUACCAAAAUCUCAUAUGAUGUCAACAAUGCGCCAACACAUUACAAACUCGAAUUUGAUGCAUAAGGAAAAACGAACUCUGAAAAAGAACUACCCAGCCUGCGUAACGAAUAAAAUGACCGAACAACUGCUAUGAACCCUUCUCAGAGAAUGAGAAACCAAAUACACAAGAACAGAUAUAGGGAACCGUACUCCACAUCUCAUUGUUGCGGUGUGCAACCCGAUCCAUACAUGUUACCGUUGCGGCGUGCAACCCGAUCCAAAUAUGAUACCAUUGCGGCGUGCAACCCGAUCCAAACAACGUAACUGUGGCGGCGUGCCACCCUAUCCAUUCAUAACAAUAAAUAAAGACACACCCAUCAAGCCAUAAUGCUUCUACCUACGGAAUACCGAAUAUCAUCCACAAGCACACCAAGUGAACAAAUACAACCCUGGGGAGACGGAUAGCGCAACACGCCACAAAACCCAAGCACAAUUAAGGCGCGAUAAAUGACCUGCAUCUCGAGAGCCAUCCUGCUCAUAUAACAACACAAGCUACACGAGACCUCAACACAUGUGCGAAUAAUCAAAUCGUCUCAAUCCGGAACAACUCCCACCAUUCACAACCGAAGGAAUAGAGCGCCUUCUAGGCAUAAACUCUCACAUUAACGAUAGUACAAUAAUCUCCAUGCUUGGUUUAAAUCUUUAACAAUCAUGUGACUAACAUGUUAUGCUUAUACAGGUUUCCCCGUGGAAUACUCUCCCACAACCUUUCGCACCAGGUAGCAAUGUCUGCACAUCCAUACCACCAACUAUUCUAAUUCUGUAAAGCAAAUCAAGAAUCCGCAAAUCAAUACACCAAGCCUAUUACACAUAACGCCGUUCUCAGGCAACACUAAAGAAAAUUCCAGCUUACUCUAAACAUCUGAAUUCUCCCCUGCUCAUCCGAGCUUGUGGCAUUCUUGUCAACACUGAACCGCAACCUUGAUCCUUAACUUUCAAAUUCCCAUGCCACUCACUGCACCUAUCAUGCCGCUAUGCGAGAAUACACGAUUCAUCAUAACCCCUGAACUACCAGUAGAAUAAACACUUCAUUAGCUAGAAACAUUUCACUUAGCUCAUUUGAGAAGAGCCAAUGCAACACGCAACUGAAUUCCCAAACCGCAGAAAAUACAAACCUCAAGUCGUGGUCUAAAUCGACAUGACUCCUCCGAAAUACACUUACACCACAAGGACAUUUGAAUCAAAUACCUCCCAAAUCAAUCAAGUUGUGGUGACUGUUAAGCCCACGGAUACAACCACAAACCACAUGUAAAACAUCACACACUGAAAGAACUGAUUUUUCCCACAAUCAUGCUGAUUCAGCCUUUACUAACCGACCCAACUUCUUCCAAUUUACUCUCGACUUGCCUUAGAAAUAAUAAUAGCUCCAUUCAAAGACGUAACAAACCAAAUUCGCACUCAUGCCAAGUGACCCGCAUCAUGAGACUGCAUCGUCUCAAUACUCAUGAACCAUUUCAUACUGUUCUUAUGCGCAUAAGAGCAUCUCCAACUGGUACACCCAUUCUAAAAGACCUUCCGUGAAUCCGAAGCUAUUUCUUCCUUUCCUCUAAUACUGCACCAUAUACCCGUUGAUAACAUAGAACAUUCCAGGUCUCGUUCGUAAUUCACUGUGAAAACUCGAUCCUUAACCACACAACGGACCCGAAAUCCUUAGGCACUGCACUUUAAUUCUUGAACCCACUAGGACCAUUGUUGAGAGUCAACCACUCUGACCUAAUCCCGAAUAUAACCAAACUUCAACGCUAUGCUAGCACAUGAACACCCUCUCAAAGAAGCAAUUUUCUGAAUUCGUUUCCUUGUACAUUACAUCCAUAAGAAGCAUAAACUCUGAGUCCUCCCAGACAUGUACCUUAAUCGAUAAGGCGAAGCAUAGCACACAUUUAUCAAGUUCCUUCCUCGAAUUACUCCUGAUAUUUUCUUUUCUUAGUCAUAAAUAAUCCACCAACGCAUCGAUAACCAGAAACCGCACAAGCAGACAACCACGCGAUCCAAUUCUAGACGGUGGGGCUCCCCCACUUAACUUUAAGCUACAAUUUUAUAAACCUAGAACCCACAAAGAUUUCUCUUCUCAAUUACCAUGAUCUCGCACCGUCAACCCGCCAAAUUUCUUGUAGUUUCUUAUUAAACGCUUCAUGAACAUUCCGAAUUAUCAUCCAUAAUCGCAUAUUUGACCUUCUGCUUCAUAGUAAGUAGAACUCUCCGUAGAAACUUCAUCAAAAUCACACAAUCGCUGACCUGUCCACAGGAGAUAGCCCACUUGUGGAAUUCCAUACCGACAUCUCUCAACGACGCUGCAUUGGGUACAACUACCACAAAAUCAGUAAACCCUCCUGAGCUCAUGCUCAUCCACCAGUUGUACAAGUCCAUUCAUUCCCCAUUGACAUCAACUGAAAGUCUGACAAUACAUUCCAAACUCGAAGUCAUGUUGCAUCCCACGACAAUCAAGUUUUCACACCCCUCUUCAUUUCAAGCAAACUCCUUUCUGUCAUAUUCAAUGUUCCUUGGUACAGUAGCCAUUUUUUCAAAUAACGUUCGUAGACCUAGUCACUUUCCACCAUGACUCCCAAAUCGCUCUGAACUUUCUCAAGGCAUGUGGCUAUCGUACCAUAGAAUCUACAUGCUACUCUGCCACUCUUAAUUCGGUUAAACCUUCUUAUUUAAGUAACUGCUCGACCUCUACUUUUCAUACUUGACCUGCUAGUAAUUCAACCACCGCGAGACACCUUCCUCCAUAUCCUCCCUCAUACUUUGCUGCCCAAAUGUUGCCUCAAAUUAAAUCCAUACCUAUAGCACUUGAACUAAUAAAUCGCUACCAACUCCCAACCACCUAAAAGAUCGUCUUCCUCGAGCCAUCAACAUUAUAAAUACCAAUUCGAUUCUGAACCACUACACACCGAUAUCUUUGACAACCGCUUCUCGGGCACCAUGUCACAACACCCUUCGUCGAAGGCAAAUAUCAAAGAAGUCCAUAAUACCGGGGAACCCUAAUACGUUCGAACAAGGACGAUGACACCACGUCACCAAGGAAAAUUCCACCAUGCUAAAAAAUAACAAGUCUCGUUACUUCAUCAACCACACCUGGACAUCUAUAGUCCAAUUGCCCUUUCUCUACUGGAAUUAAAUGCUGAACCUCUAAAUUAUGCACUGAGAAAUCCUCCUUUCAAGUCAUUCACUGCCUCGACCCAUAAUCAAGCACCCUACCAUUGUGUGACAACAAUGCAUAGAUAUUAUAGAAAUCCGUGCACGGUCUUAAAACCAUAAGGAAUACAGAUACUGAGCCGAAACAACAAAACAUCCUUCCGCAAGGCGACGAUAAUAGCCUGCCCGAACACGCAGGGAAAACAUCCUGCACCACGUCUGCAGUACCACUACAACUCCUCGACACCCCAUUGACAACAAGCGCCCCUACGUUGCGUAACAUUGAAUAGGAAGGAAGUAAAGGCACAAGCCUCAAUGGAAUCAAACCGCACGAUGAGGAAAUCAAGGAGGGGAGUGCUCCUAACAGCCAUGUAGCCUCUUGAAGAUAAGUAAAGAUGUCUCCGUACCGAUAUGCAAGACUCUACUAGACCUGCUCAUGACUCGUGAGGCCCAAGUGAACCUAACGCUCUGAUACCAAGCUGUUACAACCAAAAGUCCACUAUAGGUCGUGAUGGCGCCUAACACCGCCGUCAGGCAAGCCUACGAUGAUUGAUCGACUUGUUUACUCAUUUUAUUACUUUGAAAUCAUAAUUCCAAUUAAUUAACUAGUAUAAAAUAAAAUUUACAGGGUAAAGAAUAAUAUAUAUACGAACUACAAUGAUGAACAACCUGUAAGAACCCCCAAAACCCGGUGUUACAAGUGCAUGAGCAUCAACUAUGAAAUAUAAUAAAAUACAACAUCUGUCUGGAAUACAAUUUAGAUAGGAGAAUAUAAAUAACUCUGAUGGAGACUCUGCAGGCUGCGGAUCGUAACAUGGAAUGCAGCUCACGAUAAAAGCACUGCAACAGUCGCGCCUCUGUGCCACAAAAGACCACCAGACAUAUAUGUACCUACACAAUAAGUGCAAUAAGAGUAGCAUGAGUACGUAAAUCAACGUGUACCCAGUAAGUAUCUAGCCUAACCCCAGAGAAGUAGUGACGAGGGGUCGACAUUGACACUUACUAGUGGUCCAAUAAGACAGAUACAGUAGAAGUAAACAGAUGUGAGCCAAAGUAAAUAAACGAAAUAAUAAGUAUAAAUACGUGGUACAAUUUCCCUCUCAGCAAUAACUCAAACUCUCAGCUGGUAGUUACCUCCUCAAUCGGAGUAUAUAUAAUGGACCUCAGCAGAUAGGUCGUCACAGUUCAAAUCAAAAAAACUCGCAGAUAUAUUGUCUUCUUGUUAAUUAUUAUGCACGAUUUCAUAAUAGUAUUUGAUAGAAAUGUCGAGGCGUACAACCCGAUCGAUCAUAAUAUUGCUGAACCAUAGAUACAUCUAUUGUAUUGCCAAGGUGAACGGCCCAUUCAUAUGAAAGUGUAUUACAUAAUCCUGCCGAGGCAAACAGCCCGAUCCUAUCAUAAUGUGCGCACUGCUGAGGAUCGAACGGCACAAACCAUAGAUGUAUCUAUUAUACUGCCGAGGAAAACGGCCCGAUCCCAUUAGAAUAAGAAGCUUUGACGGGUCUUUGAUCCCACUCACGAAUAGACGUGUGAGUUAUAAAUUUUAAGGUAAACCUUUCGAUGAAAACACAUAACGCGGAAGAAAUUCGUAAGAGGAGUAUAAAUAUUUUGCGGCUAAUCAUGAAGCCCGUCGAGUCUCUACAAUAGAAAGUCUAUCACUCUACACAAGUCUAGUCUCAAGUCCCAACGUAACAAUAAAGGAAAUUUAAUAGGCAAGAGACAACUCAAAUAGUACAGUUAUAGCAUGGUGGGAACCUAAGUCAACCCGGACAUAACAUGAAUCUAGCUGCGUAUGGACUAUAGUCAUCUCGUGCGUACGUAGCCCCCGCAACAAGUGGCACAUAUCAAAUACAUCACCUAGGGGUAGUUUUCCCCUCACAGAGUUGGACAGGAGACUUCCCUCGCUCCGAAGUUCCAUAACCGGCUCCAACUUCAUUCAAACACCUCAAACCGAUGCUCGUCUCUCCAAACUAGUCAAACAAAUGUGCAAAACCAUAAAUAUAUACUCUAUUACCCAUAAUUAAU
rnacentral:lncRNA from 1 species